GCGGCAUCAGCAUCUACUGCAUCCUUUGGCCCUUCAGAGGCAGGACAGCCUUCGACAAAUUGUGAACUUUGGUGAGUAUCUUCAGUCUGCUUCCUAGGCUGUUGUACAAUAUGACCCCCUGAAUUACUUGCUUCCACGGGUGGAACAGUUUGACAAUUUUCAGGUUCGGCAGAUGAAACCUUCCCGGUUACAGAGAAAUUGACUUGCUCAUUAGCCUCAGAUGAUGUAGGCACCAUAUGUAAAUCUACUGCAGAUGUAAGACUGGCAGCAGGUGCUCCAUCUUGGCUUAGAUGUUGCGAUUCUUCAGGUUUGAGAGGAAAUGCUUCACAUUCUUUACCGUCAGUCAUUGUCCCUGAGAAAUAAAAGGUAUACACAUACACAUGUAGAGUGUUAUAAAUAAGUAAUUAUGAUAUAUCAAUUUUGUAUGCAAUUACCGAACCAAGAGUAUGAAACUAUAUAUCAAAAGAAUGAGACAAUAUAAUUACCUGAUUUGUCUAUUGGAAUGGUGUCAGACUGAGAAUUUGACUCCACCAGCUUGGAUGCGGAGUCUCUUAUAACAUAACCAACAGACUCAGACACAACGCUUUCAGAUAAGACUUGAGAGCUCUUGGCAUCCUGAUCUGUAUGAAUUCACAAAUAUUCACAUACCUAAUAUGUAUCUUGCUAAAUAUACCAUUCUAAAAAAAAAAAUCAGAAGAAACUGCUAGAAAGAAAGUUUCACAUGAUCAUACAAACUCACCUGCGGGGUAUGAAACAGAAGUAGCAGAUGUCAUAAUCCUACCGGAUGCAGCAGUCUUAUCCUCUUCCUGGCAAUCUGCCACAGCUUCAGUCCGAAGAUUAGCCAAGGAGCUAGCUUUAGGGUUUUCAUUUAAGGCAUCCUUGUCCAGGAUUGACCGAGUCUCUAAGGAAAACGCAAAUAUGGUAAGGUCUUAACGGAACGACAGUAUACAAAGAAAAGAGCACGUGCAAAAAAAAAAAAAAACAUUUACCAGGGACGUUUACAACUUCUGUUAGAUUUUUUUCUAAAAUUGUUUCCUCGCACUGCUGAGGCAAAACUUGUCCAGCGGCAUCAGCAUCUACUGCAUCCUUUGACCCUUCAGAGGUAGGACAACCAUGGAGAAAUUGUGUACUUUGCUGAGUAUCUUCAGUAUGCUUGCUAGGUUGUUGUGCAAUAUGAAUCCCUGAAUUACUUGCUUUCACAGGUGAAACAGUUUGGCAAUUUUCAGGUUCGCCAGAUAAAACCUUCUCGGUUACAGAGAAAUUGACUUGCUCAUUAGCCUCAGAUGAUGUAGUCACCAUAUGUAAAUCUACUGAAGAUGUAAGACUGACAGCAGAAGCUCCAUCUUGGCUUAGAUGUCGCGAUUCUUCAGGUUUGAGAGGAAAGGCUUCACAUUCUUUAAUGUCAAUCAUAGUCCCUGAGAAAUAAAAUGUAUACACAUACACAUGUAGAGGGUUUAUAUAUAAAUAAUUAUGAUAUAUCAAAACCCAAAAAAAAAAAAAAAAAAAAAAAAAAAAAUGCAGAACCAAGAGUAUAAAAGUAUAUAUCAAAAGAAUGAGACAACAUAAUUACCUGGAUUUUCUUUUGGAAUGGUGUCAGACUGAGAAUUUGACUCCACCAGCUUGGAUGCAGAGUCUCUUGAAACAUAACCAACAGACUCGGAUACAAAGCUUUCAGAUAAGACUUGAGAGCUCUUGGCAUCCUGAUCUCUAUCAUUGGCAUUGACAGCUAAUUCCAUGUUUUGUUUGAGAUAAGAUAUGCGAGCACUACCUUUCUUAUUGUCACCCUUCCUAGACACAUCACCAUCUGUGGAUUCAACCAUUGAGUCCAUUUGCGAAACAUGAACACUUUCUGAAGUCUCAACUCGAAGUAUCUCUGUAUGUGUCUGAGUCUGAAAAGUAGAUUCAUGUUCACUGCUUGUUAUAUUUGGUAAUACCCCAGUGAGUUCCAAAGAUGCUUCAACUGUUGCGCUGGUAUUGGCACUGCUGACAGGAAGAUCUUGGCAUUGGAUCCCUGAAACGUCUGGUUCAGCUACCUCAAGAGAAGAGAGAGCUUGGUCCCCUCUUUCUAGUACCGUGACAUCAGAUAGCUCCAUAUCCUUCAGAUCAGACUUAGCAGUGUGGUCGCUGAUAUCAUUUUCAUCAUUGAAAAGCUCUGGAAGCAAAGUGGUCUGAUUAUGAUUAUUCAACUCACCACUAGCAGAAACCCCAGUCUGUACAGUUCCGUGGCUACAAUCGAUUUCCAUCCUUGAUUCUGUGUUGGCUUCGUCUUCUGUUUGGUCAAGAAGACUAUCAGUAGUCUCAGUUCUUAUAUUGGCAUGACCACCAGUAUCCACAGCCUCUACAGUCCCGGUAUCUGAAGGUAAAACGACAUUGUUUUCCUCCAUGGAUGCCUCUUCCGUAAGGGUUUGGUUAUGAACACUAUCAGUCGUCUCAGUUCCUAUCGUAUCAAGACCAGCAGAACUCACAUGAGCUAAAACUGCAUUAUUUUCCGCAACGGUUUGGUCAAGAAGACUAUGCGUUGUCUCAGUCCCUAUCUUAUCAUGACAAGCAGUAUCCACAACCUCUACAGGCACAGCGGCUGUAUUUGAAGCCAAAAUGGCAUUAUCUUCCGGCUCCUCCUCCACAAGAGUUGGUGAGUCAUCUUUCAGCGGGACCUGUUCCUGUGCAGCAUCUGUCUUGCAGGAGUCUGCUGGAGUAUCAUCCACAGAAGGGUUGGUGGGAGUUUCCUCUUUGGAAAGAAUAGUCUCAAGGCCAGGCUCCAAUUGAUCCAUUGUGCAGCCUAGAUCACCAGAUUUCUUGAUAGAAUUAUCUUUCUCUCUUACAAUGACUUGGUCGUCCUGUCCAACCGAAUUCAAAAGCAUUUCAACGGAUUCUGAGGAAGUAGCCUCAGACCAAACAUUAGUAUGCCUAGAAAUGGCACAAGACUCAGUUGCAGCUGAGCUAAACACUACACCACUACUUGCACGAGAGAAAUCCUCAAUCCAGUUACUAUCUUCGUUACCCUCAAUACCAAGAAAAGCCUCAGUUUCGACUAAACUAUCAAACCUCAGAUGCUCGUCAAAAUCAAACCUUGGAAGAGACACCGGAGGAAACUUAGUGUUAGCUUCACCAGCUAAAUGGAGAUUCUGGUUUUGAAAGUCACUGUCAUCAUAAUCCAUGGGGCUAUUCCUGACAUAUAUGAGAGAACAUGUGUAAAAAUCAAAGCUUUAAACAAAGAGAUGAAUUCAACUCGAGUGUAUAGAAACGCUACCUCCCUCCAUUCGGCGACGAAAACCGACCUCAGAUGUUCCCUAAUCGCACGUUCAUCUACUGCUCCACCAAAACAAUAGCAAACUCGUCAAUACUAUCUACCCUCUCGCAUCCGUUGCGUCGGUGGUCAAGAAGGUUAAACUUACCGGAAAAUUCAAGCUGAUGGGGCGGACCUAGGGUUCCGGCGAAGAAAAGAGGUUUGGCGAGUGAAGCAGAUUGGGAGAGAGAGAGAGAAUGAUCGAUUAAUUAUUCGAUUUACUCAGGGAAAUCAAACGAAUAAUAAAUUUAAAUUAUAAACAAAAAAUAUGGAUGCUCAUUCCGCUACAUCCACACUGACACGUGUCUUAUUUCCUCAAUCUUGCGGCUAGUAUUGAAUUUAACAAAAAACAUCUGAUAGUAGGUUUUUUAAACGUGAAGUUCACUCGAGAGAAAAUUUAGUGACCGAGAGGUAAAUAAACGGGAGUCUUUUUUUUUUUUCUCACAAUGACCAAAAGGCAAGAGGCACCUGCGCGUAUAUUCAUUUUUGAUUUGCAAAAAAAAAUAUUUAUUUUAUAUAAAUGGUAAUAUAUGCUUUUAAAUUUUUAUAUAUAUAUAUAUAUAUAUAAUAUUAUAUAAUUAUUUAAUAUAUUUCUAAAUGCAAUCAUUUUAGAAUUUAUAAUGAAUAAUUUUUUUUGAUCCGUCAACUGUUACGACCAUAUUUUUAAAAUAUAACUCGUGUGUUCGUGUAAAUGUAUUUUUAUGGAUCAAAAUUUUAAUGUAAAAUAAAAUGGUUAUCUAUUUUUAUAUUUGAUUUAUACGAUUAAAUAAUUCAAUAUAUUAUCUAAAAUUUUAUGGUUUAUAUUAUGUAUUUUUAUAACACUUUUAUGUUUUUAGACGUAGUUAAUAUACCAAAAUAAAAAAUAACCACCACGUAAUAAUAAAAUCUUGUUACAUUUUUGACAUUGAUUAAGUAUAACUAGGUGACCGGUCCGCACCCUGUGCGGGCAUAAGAAAUUUAAAUAUGGAUAAAUAUUACAUUGUUUUUAAAAGUAACAGAUUUUACAACAUAAUACCACCGUCUUUGGGAGAAUUCAUCAGUCAUGGAAAAAAGUUGGUAGUUCAUAUUUGAGAUGGACGAGAGGGAACACAGUAACGUCAAUAGGAAGAGGCAGAUAUUGUGUGUAUGUAUAAUUGCAAAGUCACAAAAUAUUUUGUGUGUUUAAGAAGAUACUUUCAUUCAAAAAAUGGAAUAAAUAGUGUAUAGUUUUAGAAGUAACAAAUUUUAUAUUCACAUUAAUUAGACUUUUAUUGUAUAUGUGUCGUAAUUCUUUAUUUUAGGUGAAUAAUAUUAUUUUUCCAUAAAUAAUAAACAAACAUUUAUGUAGACAUAUUAAAAGAAAAUAUAAUAAAAAUCAAAAUAUUAUCCAUAAAUAAUAUAAAUUAUGAAGUACAAUUCUCGAUAAAGAAAGCAAAUUCAAUUAGAAACCUGCAAAAAAUUAAAUAAAAUUUGUAAGCAAUUUGACGGAUUAACAUUAUUUGAUAAAUUUAUAAAUUUCUAAAUUUUAUUGAACAUGAAAUAAUAUUAAAUUGACAUAUCGUCAUCGGUCUCCUAACUCAUCACAACCCAUCUGGCAAAUACAAAAAAAUAAAUAAUUGUAGCAGUUUAUAUAUUUUAAAAUUUGUAUUUCAAAAAAAAGUAGAUAAAAAUUACGUACCGUGACUACGGAAUAUUCUGAAAAACUUGUUUGUAGACAAACAUUCAAUGCUUUUGUCUGCGGCUUCCUUUUUUUACCAUUUAUUAGGAUUUUUAAUCCAGAUCUCGACUUAACUCUUGAAAGUGCAACUUUGCCUUGCAUUUUGUAAGCAUUUUAUAAAUUAUUUUAUAAUUAUGAUAAAUUUAUUCUUUAAACAAUGAUAAAUAAUUAAAAAUAAUAUUAAUAAACAUUUUUGGAUUUUGUAAUAUUUAAAAUAGUUAUUAUAUAAUUAUAUUCGAACACAAUUCAUCAAGUAGAGUAUAAAACUAUUAUAAUUAUCUUAUAUAAAAUUCCGUUCAUUAUAUUUUAUAGUUUAUAAAUAUUAAAAGUAAUAAAUAAAACAUUAUUAAUCAUUCAAUAAUUUCGAGAAUUAGUUUCCAUAAAUUGUUAUUUGUAAUAUUCGUUAGAUUAUAUGGCAAGUGAUGUUAAAUGAUUUUAGACUUAUCUUAAAUUUUUAAAUCUAAACGAAAUAAAUAAAAAUUAAAAACAAUCGACCAAUGAAAUUAUAACAAUUUCUUGAAACUUCACCUAUGAACCUCAAUCUGCGUUAGAUCAGUCCACGAGAUUCACAAAAAAAAUCUAAAUCCCUUACAGGUUAGGUUACUUAAACGUAGAUUUGUCCAUUUGACAUAUAUGCACCAUGUUGGUAAGUUGACCACGAUUAUUGGUGGAACUAAUAUCCGGUCUAAUAAAAAAAGGUAGCUGGUUCGAUUAUUAAUUUUCUAGGUUGUUUGACUGCUUUGAAAUAUUUUGGCUUAUUUGCAAUGUAAUAUGCUAACUUAUUUUAUGUUAUGUCUCUCUCUUUUUGUUUUGCCUUUUGCGUAUUUAAUUUGAUAAUUACUACUAUGAUUUGAUAAUAAUAAAUAGUAGUAAUUCAUUGAUCAUCUUUUUGCCAGACGUUACAAUCUCAUUCAAUCUAGCCUGCAUAUAUUGUCCAAUUAUGAUGAAAUCAAUCUUGUUGAUUGACUGAUACACACGCUUCAAAAAAUGACUCAAGUCAUAGGACAAACUUUGGCAGCUUCCAUUUCAAUGUUGGCAGUAUCAAGACCAUCCAACAUGGAAGAGUCCUUGCUAACCAAAGAAACUUUGAGAAGCAAGAAAGAUAAAAAGACAUCUAUACUAUACUAAAAGGGAGAUAAUCUCCACUUCUAGCAUGUCCACGUCAGCAAAAAUAAUCCUCCAAUCAAAACAUUUCGUUUUACAUGUCAUCUUCGAAACUGGUUUUAUUUUGGGUUUUUUCUUAGCAAUUUAAACAGCCCAUUAAGCCCAAAAUGCCUCCCUUACGCUCCCCUCAAAUUCAGAAGCUGCGUCUCCGUCCUCAACGCCUUCGCUAGCUAAUAGCUCUUGAGAUCUUCGAUUUCACUUUGCUCUUUUUUUAGGUUCAAACUUCUUUUGUUGCCUUCUUUUUCCCAGAUCUGCUUCCAUUGAUUGAAUAAUCCUAUUUGCAGAAAACUCUACCCAGGAGCCGAUCAUGUUGUAGCUACUGAAUUGCUUAGACAGAAAGAGAAUGUGUAGGCAGAAUUGUUGCGCGAAAUCGUCACAAGAGGAGGAGGUGAUUUCACCACCUGAUGAGAAUCUCUUGAUCUACUGUAAACAUGUUCGUCUCUACAACAUUCUUCGCAUUCGCUCUCUUUACAACGUAAAUCAAUUACGUCUCUCUCUAUCUGAAUCAUUCUUUUAGCUCAGCUGAUACUGGUUGUCUCUCUCACUCAUGGUCUUUUUGUUUUUCAUGCAGCCAUCGUUUCUUCCUAGAUUAUUGAGCUACAAAAUUUAAGCAAAAGGCAAAAAAAAAAGAGGUAUGAUUCUUCUUUUUAUCCUUUUCUCGGGUCUAACUAUGGAAACUCAUGAAUGGUUUCUUCUCUGUUGUGUGUGUUUUUUGGUUUAAGUCCGGAUCUGCUGGGAUUGUAGUUUUUAAUUAUAAGGAUUGUAAUAACAUGUUGCAGAAAACUGAAGCUGUCUUUUAUUAUUUUCUCUUCUUCCGGCAAUUUUGUUUCUAAUGUUUUUGUGGAUUUAGGUGAAGUGGUGACGGAUGGUGAGAAGUCGAAGGCGGGGAAGAAGCGAGCUAAGGCUCCAUGGGCAAAGCCACUUUCUCAGUAUUCUCAGGUGGGUCAAGUUUAAUCAGUGAUUGUGUUUUUUAUUGGUUUGAUCUAAUAGUCUGUGAAUUGCGCUUUCAGGUUUAGCAGUGUGCAGUUCAUGUAAUAUUUUUAGUAAAGGUUUGGUCUUUCAGUUCAUGAGGAACGAGUUUAGUUGUCUGCAUGUCCGGUUCUUUUAUAGUUUUUGCCGACAAAACUCAGAAGUAUGUUGUUAUGUAUGUGUCUUUGUGACUUUCUGUGGUCUGCAAGUUACGCAUUGAGGGUUUAGCAGUGUGCAGUUCGUGUAAUAUUUUUUUGUUGUUGAAGGUUCGGUCUUUCAGUUCAUGCCCAACGAGUUUAGUUGGCUUCAUGUUUGGUUCUUUUAUAUUUUUCUGACAGACCACACGAUGUGAUAUAAUGAACAAUAUUUGGGUCUGUGGCAGGCAUACUUUGAUGCGCCCGGGGUUUAGUAAAUUUAAAUUUUUUAUAUUGGCCAAUUUGUAACCACUGUUAUUGUUUUCCAUAUUCAUAUUCAUGAACGGAGUUUUAGUGAAGGUGAUUUCCUUGAAAUAAGCAGAUGAUGCUCAAUCACCAAAAGCUUACACAACCGAAGAUUACCUCAAGAUCACUGAAGAGCAGCUCAAAGCUUCGUCUCCUGGUAAAAUCCAAAGAGAGGAUCAAAUUCAGACUCAAGAACGUGCUGUACAAAGCCAGCCUGAAGGUUAGCAUGUCAUCAGAAGUCUCUCAUAUCUUCUUCUAACUACUUAAAACCAUUCUUCAAAACUGCUGAUGACCACUGUUUUGUUGUAGUUACAUCGAGAGAGACCAUGGCUGCAUCUUCUCCAAGGCAAGAUUAAAAGGCACCCAAGAUCUGGAUCUGCCCUUUCUGCUUCCAGCGGAACCCUUUCCCUCCUCACUACCACAUGAUCUCCGAGACCAAUCUCCCCGGCGAGCUUUACCCUCUGUACACCACCGUUUAAUACGCGCUUCCUUCCACCGCCGGCCAAUUCGAUCCCAGAACCGGCGCUGCUCCGCCUCAGACGCCUCCUCAUGUGUUCGUGUUUGUUCUCGAUACGUGUAUGAUCGAGGAGGAGUUGGGGUUCGCUAAAUCUGCACUUAAGCAGACGAUUGGGUUGCUUCCGGAGAAUGCUUUGGUGGGGUUUGUGUCUUUUGGGACGCAGGCUCAUGUUCAUGAGUUGGGAUUCUCGGAGAUGUCUAAAGUUUUUGUCUUUAAAGGGAAUAAAGAAGUGUCUAAGAAUCAGGUUUUGGAUCAGUUGAGGCUUUCCUCGAGGAGAGUUCCCACUUCUGGGUUUCCCAAAAGAGCGCAAAAUGGGUUCCAGAGUGCUGCUGGUGUCAACAGGUUCUUGCUGCAUGCCUCGGAUUGUGAAUACACACUGGACUUGGUAAGUUACGGUUGAUAUGUUUGUGCUGGUAAAUGAUUAUAUGUUGUGACGUGGAUUGAUGUUUGGUAUGCAGCUUUUGGAUGAGCUGCAAACAGACAAUGGCCUGUUCAGCCCGGUCAUCAUCCCCAAAGAUGCACUGGUGUGGUGUUGAGUGUAGCUGCUGGAUUGCUUGGAGCUUGCUUUCCUGGAACUGGGGCUAGAAUCGUUGCUUUGGUCGGAGGUCCAUGUACAGAGGGCCCUGGAAUGGUUAGAGCUUGGAUCCUAUAAAUAGGCGUUCUAUCACAAAAUCUUUGAUCUUUUCUCUGCUCAUAUUUGAUUCUUCUUUAGGAGAUAUAUAUACAUUUGUAAAAGAAGUUGAUUGUGAACAAAUUAUUUCCUUGGCAGCGAUGCACUCCUUAUGUGAGACACCUACCAAUGUAAGUGUUAUUGACUUAGUUCGCUUUCUUAUCAACGUGCUGGUGGUAUUUAUCAUCUAAUUAUAUCAUACUUAGUGGUAGACAACAUCAACAUGGAGGUGUUGUUAGAGGUAGUUGAGGCAGAGGCCAAGCUGGUGGUGGCAAAGACAAUAAAUGUGGCCUAGCUAAAGAUUGUCAAAAGUGGGAUUGAAAAAUGGAAUAAAAGUUCCUAACAUGGUAUUAGGAAGAACGUGUAGAUAAUAAUAAUGGAAGGUGUCCUACAUUUGUGGAUCAUCAGGUGAGCACGCUUCUGUGUCUAGGAGCAGCCGGAGCUAGAUCCAUUGUUGCUCAGACUUGUGCAUUAAUUUUUUUCAUAAUUCAGUGGCUACAGGAGGUGGCUGGAGGAACAACAGAGGUUGUUUAAUAAAGUGUUGCGACUCAAGAGCACCUGACCGAUAGCGAGCUUAGGAUGUUUGUUGAUGUGCGUGGAGAGGAAUACAGUUCAAGGCAACUUCAAAGCAAUAAUGUUUAACCGCAUUAGAUAAUUGUUUCUCUCCAUAUUCUUUUUUUUUGUAGAGAUUUAUGUAUGAAAAAAUGGAGAAAGUAAAAUGAUUCAGAAGAAAAUCUACAGUUUCAUUUAGAGAAAGGUCGAAGAUGAUGGCUGGUUUGGUGAAUAUCAGAGUCUUCAGCUAAGCUCUACUAAUUUUUUUUUCACAACUUACAACGAUAGUUAUUCUGAUAUUGAAUUUGGGAUGGAUUACAAAUCUUUCAUUUAGUUUUCAAUAGCUAAUCGCACAUUUAAUUUUCAGGCUCUGUGCUACUGUUGAUGUGUGUGUUGAUCAUUUGGACAGGACCAAAUUACUUUGAGAUUGAUUUGGAUAUGCACAAGUUCAAUUUAUACAGAAAAAAACGAGAAUGUUUCAGGGAUAGGAUCAAGAAUGAGAUCCUACUUCUUGGUUUAACUAUUCAAUUUAUACAGAAAAAAACGAGAAUGUUUCAGGGAUAGGAUCAAGAAUGAGAUCCUACAACUAUUCAGAAACUUGAAUAAUCUCUCAAAAUUUUGGUUUUUAUGUCUUUUGUUUGUAGAGUGUAGUUGAAGUAAAAAAAUUGUUCUUUCUAACACAAUGUCUAUCACCAAAAGAACAAGAUUCAUUUUGCGAAAUGAGGUGAUGUGUUAGGGUGAACAAGAUUCAUUUCGCAAAGUACCGAUAUGUUAUAAUUAUAACUAACAAACAAUGAUGGAGAUUCCAGAUCUUAUUCACUACAAAGAUCACAUAAAGAAAAAAUAAUUCAUCUAAUCACUGGGGUAGCAAAGAGACAAAAGCAAAACAGAGAACAUGUUAACGUAUUUGUAUUAAAGAGGCAAAAGGAGAAAAACCAAUGUCCUUUUUUUUUGGGACAACCAAUGUUCUUUUUGUAAACCACUGUGACCAGAAUUGCUCCGAAAAUAUAUUUUCUCUAUAAAUUUUAUUAAGCAGUGACAAUGAAAGACGAGAGAAAGCAAGCAAAUUUUAGAUGAAUAAUUGUUUCUAUAUAUUUUUGAAACUAUUUAUGAAAAAUUUAUAUUGUCAAAUGGCAUCUGAUAUUACAACUAAAGCUGUUUUUAUUUAUUCUCAAAUGUAACACUACAUCAUUUUGAAAGAUGCCAAGCAUUUAUAUUGCUAAGUAUAUUCUUUAGACGAAGAGAUCCUCUAUCUUGGACAGCAUCUCCUAUGUUCUGGGACACAACCAAACCGAAAACACCACCGAGUAGCACAAAAUGUAGAACUAUAUUUUUAAGAUGAAAUAUCAACAAUAAAAUAAUACAUAUCACAUUAAACACUAGAAAAAGAACAAAAAGAAACAAAUAAAACAUAUCCACAAUUAGCUUAUAGUCAAAUAUUUUCUACUCUAAUUGCUCACCUAAAAUACAAUAUAAUUACCAAAAAAGUAAAAUUUAUCAAACCCAUCUGAUAUACACACAUACCCAAAAAUUAAGUCAUCACUUCCAUCUAGAUUAAUAAAUCACAAAAAUUUCUAAACAACAUCAAAUAACAAAUCGAUUAAAAAUAACAAACAAAAAUAAAAUAGGUUUGUUUGUUUAUAGCCUAAUUAAUGGCUAUAAGCGAAUUAAAAACAAAGAAAAUUUGGUUGCAAAGAAACUCAGAAAUGCAAACGCUGAACAUGGAUUGAUCAUAAAGAAGAUAUUUAUGCAUAAAAUUAUGAACAUACUCCUAAAGAAGAUAAUCAAAUUAAUAAUCACUGGUAACGAACCAAAAUAAAUGUGAAAAUAAAUGAUAGAAAACUUUCUUUUCAUAAAACAAUUUAUAAAAUCUGUUUUACAAUUAUUAAUAAUAGUUUUAAAAUUUAAAAACACUUCAAAUUUAGCAUUAAACAAAAUGUUGAUGUAAGCUUUUGAGGUCUUUUGGCAGACUUUUUGAGGAUUGUUCUAUAAUGGGUAGCAGUCAUCAAAACAUCAUUGCAAGCGGCAUCAACUCAUAUUAAUUUUAAAUACCAUAUAAAAUUUCUAAUACUGCUACUUAAAACUUCAUUGUUAAUAAAUAGUUCAAGCUCACUGAUUUCAAGCAAAAAAAUAUAAAUCUUUCAACAUCUACUAUGUUAGAAUAGUGAUACAAUAUGUUCUCAGAUUUUACACGUGUAAUACAUGGUUUAUUUCUAUCCUAACCAGAUAAACUUUAUCUAUGAUUAAUAAUUUGUUUUCAUGAUAAUCCAAUAUAUAAAAUAAAAAAAUAUUUGGAUCAUAAUUUAGAUUUAACUAUUCUUUAUUCAUUUCACAUUUGUUGAUCUUUCUAUAUGUAUUUUUAGAUAGUAAAAAUGAUAAAUUGUCAGUUUUACUUUUUUCUAAUUCAAUAUAUGAUUUAUUAUUUCAGCAAAGGAUGCAAUAUAUGUGCGUUAUCAUAUUAAAUACAUUUAUAUUUUUAUAACCCCGGGCGUAGCCCAGGAAAAAUGUCUAGUUAUUAGUAAACACAUGAUGACAUUGCAAAUUAAGCACCAGCAAUAUAAUAUUAAGAAGGGAAAACCAGGAUUGGCGUCAGCUGUCCUUCUAGGUCAAGUAGACCUUUAGCAAAAGCAGCUGCAGACAUCUGGUCACCAUAUGCGAACCAGUUCAAACAUUAUUUUUUUCCAACACAUAUGCUUAAUUAUCUUCAGUAGUAUCAAUGUAAAAGGUGUACGUACCUGAACACGUCCCUCGUCAGAGCUGUAAAUUUUAAGGUCAUGACGGUAUGUACUAUGGAGACGAAGCAAACCAGUCCCUUCACCUGAAAAAAACAUGUAAUUUAAGGCCAUUUCAUCGGUGAAAUACUCCAAAAUAAAAGUAACAGAUCAGGGGGCCUUACUGGAUACAUAUUGUAUCGGAUGAAUCUACCAAGCUCUUCUGCCUGCAUGUAGAUGAAGCAAACAUCAAUAAGUUAAACAAUUCUUCCAUAUUUGGAAAACAUAUAUAUAUAUAACAAUGACAAAUUAAAUGGUAGAGUAUGUAAACACAUGUUUUCUACCAGCGUGAGUUAGAACACCACCGUAUUGAAGAAUCAUAAGGGCCUCUACAGGUUUUUCUUCUUCGCCUUCACCAUCCCACUUCAGCGGCUUCAGUUGAACCUUCCUGUAUAUCCAUGAGAAAUUUUCUCCCUACGCCAUUCCAAAAAGUUCUCUGAUGUGAGAAAAUGACCUCAUAAAUUAAAUAAAAAAUGCAUAAUGCUAGUUUACUUAUAAGAUAGUCUAUUCAACAAAAAAAUGAUAUAAGAUAGUAUUACUAAAUGAUACUAUGUAAUACUUUCCCCGGACUAUAUUCAAAAAAAAAAAAGUACUAAAGAACCUCUUCAAGAACUGCUUUAAUUUGGCGAAGCUUCUCAGCAUGUUCAAGGUCUUCUGGAUCACUAUCACUCUCACGACCUGGUCUACAUAUAAAAAAAGAAAGACCAUAUUGUCGUUACCAGUAUUCAACACAUGGAAAAGAUAGACCAGACAUGAUUUUUGGAGACAAGACACAAAUAGUUGAGUUUAGGGUUUUACCUUGUACGGGAAACUAACAUUCUUGUUGCAUCUAAUAGGUCUUACAACUGGACUGCACUUUUUAGUUUUGUCUACAAAAAGAAGAAAAAAAUAUAAAAUGAAUCAAGGCUCUGAUAAAAGAUGGAUGACAGAAAAGCUGGAGUCUCUCGCACCUCAAGCACACAAGCAGCAUCGUCGUAAUACUUUAAUAGUAUGAGAGGAGAGAUUUGUGAAUAAUACUUUAAAGAAUGAAAAUAGAAUGUUUGUAUUUUAAGACCUUGGGUGUCUGCUAUAUAUAUACAGUCGAUUUAUUUCUCAUAUUAAUGACACACAAUUUUGUGCAUAAUAAAUAAUAAAAUCGUUUAAAGAAAGAUAUUAAAUGUGUAUUGUCAAAAAAUGAUUUGCAUAUGAUAUGAUUUUAACUUACGCAAGUAAUCCAUAUUAGAAAGGUAAGUUAUUAAAAACAAACAACCUAAUUAGAAACAUUAAAAUAUUUUGUAAGCAAUGUAAUAAAUAUGAUAUCAACAUGCGCAAGUUUACCGUUUGAAUAAUAAGGAAAGUUUUUAAUAUUUGUCUUAAUUCUAAAUCUUGCCCUAGGGUAAACUAAAUCGAUAAUAUUUAAUGAUUUCAACUUGCGCAAGUAAUCCAUAUUGUAAAUAAGUGAUUUGCAUAUUUAAUGAUUUCAACUUGCGCAAGUAAUCCAUAUUAGAAAGGUAAGUUAUUAAAAACAAAUUUUGUCAAUAAGUUAUUUGUAUAUUUAAUAAUUUCAACUUGCGCAAGUAAUCCAUAUUAGAAAGUAGCCCUGCGACUUUGGUUUUCUGAAACCAAACCGAACCGUCAGUUUUUGGUUAACCGAAAUUUUAAAAACCAUUUCUGAAAGUAACCGAAUUAAAUUUCGGUUCGGUUCGGUUCAGUUUUCGGUUAUUUUCGGUUUUCACCUAAAUUUCCGAAAAUAACCGAUUUUUAUGAUUUUUGGUUAAUUUCGGUAUAGGUUUUUAAAAAAGUUCGGAUUUUCCGGUUAAAUUCGGUUAUUUCCGGUUUGGAUUUUCAGUUAUUUACGGUUACUUUCGGUUAUUUUCGGUUUUUCCAAAAAAAAAUAAUCAAAAACCGACCGAAAACCGAAAUAUUUUUUUAAGUCGUACCGAACCAAACCGAUCUCGAAAACAUAACCAAACCGGAAACCGAAAAUGUUGGUUCGGUUCGGGGCAAAGUCGCAGGGCUAUUAGAAAGGUAAGUUAAUAAAAACAAACAACCUAAUUAGAAACAUUAAAAUAUUUUCUAAUCAAAUGUAAUUAAUAUGAUAUCAACAUGCGCAAGUUUACUGUUUGAAUAAUAAGGAAAAUUUUUAAUAUUUAUCUUAGUUCUAAAUCUUGCCCAAGGCUAAACUAAAUCGAUAAUUAUUAUCCCCUAGCUAUAUAUGGGCUUAACAAAAUCGACAAUAGUUUUGGGCUUGUUUAGAUAAACGAUUGAUUAAAAUAAAUGAAAAAUAAAAUUCAAAAAAAUCGACCAAUAGAAUUAUAACAAUUUUUCUGAGAAGCUCUAUAUUAAUGCCAUGUCAGCAAAAAUCACUAAAGUGACUUCUCUUUUAAUGUAUAGGAGGAUUUAUUGUUUACCCAGAUUAUAGGAAACAUUUUUUAAAUAAAUAAACAUAAUUUGUUAUACAUUAUUUUAGGAAAAUACAUUAAUUAAACUAUAAAAGACAAGAAUACUAAAAGAUAGGUAAAUUUAUUACUUCAGUGACAUUCAAAUGUAAAUAACUUUGAAAACUAAGGGGAAAUUUAUAUUGGUACUUCUCUUUUAAUAAUAGAGAUGUCUUGAAGAAUAAAAUCACAUACAGCAAAAUUAUCACUACCGUAGUAAAUGUAAUGUCUCUUUUCUUUUUUGUUAAUUAAUUAACGGUCUAGAUUAACCUGGUAAAAAUGGUUAUUUGUGAAUUAGGCAAACAAAAAAGUAAUUACUUUUUUUUAGCGAGAGGUUAAAGAGCGAUAUACCAUGCUCCUCGAUCUUAAUUCAUCGAGAUUAGAUUUUUACAAUCGGUCAAAUUGUUCAGAACGUCCUUAUCUCUAUGCUGGUUGGCUCCAAUGGACUGAUCCACGAACCGGGGCACAUCAUUCCCUUCCUUUUCAAAAAGAUUUAUCCUCAAAUCUGAAACAUUAAAAGGAAAAGGAUUAUAAGCAAAAGAACCAUAAUCAACACAAUGCUCACCUUGAGUUCGGUCCGUUUUUUCAAUGGAAGAUGAUUCUUCUUGGUUGGCUUGAUGACCACAAAUUUGUUCAUCUAGCCCCUCCAUUGGCUCAUAUGUGAAGUCAUCGAAAAUUUGUAAUGGAUCUUCCUUUUCUGGUUCGGUUUCAACGUUCUCAUUCUCCAAAGUCACCAACGGUCUUUGCUUUCGACACUUGUUAGCGUAAUGACCGAUCCUAUGGCAUUUGAAGCACCUGGUAGAAUGAGCUUUGCUUGUAGAUUUCACAGUUUUGCUUUUAUCAGAAGGCAACACAUUAGUUUUCAAAUUAGAAUUUGAAAGAGAAGAAAAAUUACUUUGAUGUUUUGGUGCAAUAAAAGUGUUGGUGUUUUUUUUCUUUUUUGAGUUGUCGGAUAGCAUGAAUUGCCUUAUGCAACAUCUUCUCCAAACUGACAUAAGUCAGAAGCUCUUCUGAUCAAACCCAUCAUAGUUGCGUCUCUUGGCUUUGGAGAAGGGACGAUCACCACUUCUGACCCACUUCUCAUCAUCAUCGAUCAUGUUUUGUCUCUUCCUUUGGUUUUUUUUUUGUUUCUGCACAAAUCAAACCCAUUAGAAGCAAACUGUUUCUUAUUUCCAAAAAUUAUUUGCUCUUUUUCUAACACGGUUUUAAAAGAAAAAUAAACGUCUUGUUGUGCUUUUGAUUUCUUGAGAAGUCAAAACAUCCUGAAAAAACUUAACAAAAGAGUUAGCAAAUAAAAAUCUGCACACUCUCAAAGUGUUUAGGUCACGAUUUUUAGGUGAUCACUCAGAGUUCUUUCCACUAGUACAAAAGAUGAUAAGCAGUCAAAAUUCAGCAAUCAAAACCCAAAACAAACUUUUGUGGUAAAAAGAAAAGAGAAAGAAAGAUGAAGAGAAUUUUGAUAUGUAUCCACCUGUAGAAGAUAUAAGUAUAAGGACCUCUCAGUAAAUACUAGAUACUUAGAAUACCUAAUGUACGAUGUAUAUAUACUGUAAUCUUAUGAGUAAUACAAACCAUUCAGUCAUAUUCUCUUUAUGGUAUCAAGAGCCAUAGAUCCCUAAUUUUUCAAAACUCUCUUGGCCGCCACUUCUACUCUUCUUCUUCUCACGAUUUUUCUUUUCACUGAUUCUUUGAAUCAUGUCGAACUCUCCGGCCUCUUCCACUGAAACAAUCAUUGUUUCCAAUACCACAAACCUUCUCAACCUUAAUAUGACCAACGUUACGAAGCUCACAGCAUCCAACUUCCUCAUGUGGAGCCGUCAGGUUCACGCCCUACUCGAUAGCUACGAUCUUACGGGAUACAUCGAUGGAUCAGUUGUCAUGCCUCCACCCAUGAUAACAACGGAUGGUGUGAUCUCAGCGAAUCAGGACUACUUCUUGUGGAAGAGACAAGACAGACUGAUCUACAAUGCUUUGCUCGGCGCUAUUACCGUCUCCAUUCAACCGAUACUUCCACUACCAUAACCUCUGCUAAAAUCUGGGACACGUUCUCUUCUACGAAUGCGAAGCCUUCUCGUGCUCACAUCAAGCAAUUGUGUCAACAAAUCAAAAACUAGACCAAAGGGACGAUGUCAAUCGAUGCGUACAUCCAAGGCUACACUACUCGAUUUGAUCAACUUGCGCUUUUGGGCAAACCGUAUGAACUCGAGGACCAGAUCAAAUACAUUCUUGAAGGAUUCCAAGAGGAGUACAAGCAACUGGUUGAUCAGGUUGAGAGUCGUGAUUCGACACCAUCAGUCACGGAGGUUCACGAGAAGCUUCUCAAUUCGAGGUUAAGCUCCAAGGUACUCUGGCGUCAGACGGUGCUUCCAAUAAUAGCUAAUGUAGCUAACUACCGUGGAUCCUCUCUUCAUACUGGUAACCGCGGAAACUUUCAAGGUUCUAACAAGAACAACAAUCAAAGCAGGAACAACAGGAAUGAUCAGACUUUGCAACAACAACAACAGUUCUCCUCGCGCAAUGACAACAACCAUGGCUAUCAAGGCAAAUGCCAGUUAUGCGGUGUUUACGGUCACAGCGCUAGACGUUUCUCUCAACUUCAAAACACUGCUGCCGGGUCAUCUCAGUCUCGUUCCUAUGCUCCUGCUUCGACCGCUUGGCAGCCACAAGCAAACAUGGCGUCUGCGUCUUCUUACAAUCCUCACAACUGGAUCAUGGACAGUGGAGCUACACAUCACCUCACCACUGAUCUGAGCAACCUUGCCCUUCAUAAACCGUACACAUGUGGAGAGGAGGUCACCAUUGCUGACUCUGGUCUCUCAAUCUUGCAUACUGGUUCAACAUCUCUUAAAACUUCCUCUCGCUCAUUUAACCCUUAUGAUAUCCUUUAUGUCCCUAACCUUCAUAAAAACCUUAUCUCUGUUUAUCACUUGUGCAAUUCUAAUAACGUAUCUGUUGAAUUCUUUCCUACCCACUUUCAGGUAGGGAUGUUAAAAUGGGUAAACCCACCCCAUUUAGACCCACCCCAUUUAUAACCCACCCCAUUUAGAACCCAAACCCGUUUAGACUCAUUUAGUUUUAAGGUCUAUUAGGGCUCCCCAUUUAAACCCACAAAUUUUACUUUGACCCAUUAAGACCCAUUUAGACCCAUUUAACUCUUUUUUUUUUUAAUUUGUUUCAUACCUUUCUUGUUUUAUUUAUAGGUUUAGCUUCCUUCAAAGGCUUCUUUGAACAAGUUUUCAAGUGGCAUUGAAGAUGAUGAGUCCCAAAGCUGUGAUUCGUUUCACUACGUGUCACUAACUUCGUACCGCAAUGCAUAACACUUGGCCCUUUCUUUGCCAUCUUCUUCUACUCCCACUGACACAAAGUCUUCCCAAACGGGCGAUGUUUUACGUCUCUUGCGUUGAGCUUGAGUUGAUUCCCCUACUUGAGUUUCACUUUGCUGUGCUUGUGGUUGUGUAUCUUCUAAAUUUAUCUCAGCUAGAGUAUCUUCUUCAUUCAUGUCUAUUAACUAAUCCAUGCUGUAACUAAAAGAACAAAAACAGAUUCUCUUAAUCAAUCUAGAUUCUAGCACAAUCACAAACACAAAACAUAAGGAAAUCACAAUCACGUCACAAAUAUAUAAUCAAAUAAUAUCAAUGGAACAAAGCAAAUCAUAUCAUAAUCACAACACAUUCAUGUAUUAUUAUCUGGAACUUGCAGUGAUGAUGAAGAAGUAAAGCGACACAAGAAGAGCAUUAACGUUUACUGAUCCUAACCACAAACACAAGUAGAUGAGAGAUGAUUACUCCAAUAAACCACUAAAAUAAACGAUACCCAGAAGAUAUAAACAUGGAAGUUGAUAGGAAGAGAGAUCAAACCUUUGAUGCUUGUAGAAGAGAUUGAGAUUAGGCGGAGUCUCCGCCGCGGAGAGAAAGAGUAGACAAAUUUUUUUUUUUUGAUAUGAUUAGAAAACCCGUACAUAAAAAUUAAACGACAACGUUUUUGAUUAAAGAAAAAAAAACUUAAAUGGGUUAGUAGGGUCCUCAUUUAUUUUAGCUAAACCCCAUAUAAUAAAUGGGUCUUAGCCGGAUAACCCAUUAAAAACCCAGUACACUAAAUGGGUCUAAUUAGGUAUUAAUUUAUUUUCAAUACCCAUUAAGAACCCGCUAAAGAAACCCGUUAUAACAUCCCUACUUUCAGGUGAAGGAUCUCAACACGGGGGUCCAAUUACUACAAGGCAGAACUAAAGACGAGUUGUGCGAGUGCCCAGUGACAUCCCCAAACACCAUCUCUCUCUUGGCCAAUCCAACACCAAAAACUUCAUUUUCUUUUUGGCAUUCCCGUUUGGGACAUCCUUCUUUAUCUACUCUGCAACAUGUUGUUUCAAAAUUUUCUUUGCCUUUAUCAUCUUCUUCACAAACACCAUGUUCUCAUUGUUUCAUUAAUAAAAGUCAUAAACUCCCUUUUUAUUUAAGUACAAUUGUCUCAACUCAGCCUCUCCAAUACAUCUACACAGAUGUUUGGACUUCUCCCACUCUCUCCAUUGAUCAAUUCAAAUACUAUCUUAUUUUUGUAGACAAUUAUACACGGUAUACAUGGUUCUACCCCCCCAACAAAAAUCCUAAGUAAAAGAAACUUUCAUUACCUUCAAGGCCCUUGUCGAGAAGCAUUUUGAUUCAAAAAUCCGCAACUUAUAUUCAGAUAAUGGUGGAGAAUUCAUCGUCCUGCGAUCCGUCUUAUCCUCCAAUGACAUCUCUCAUCUUACCUCUCCACCACACACACCCGAACAUAAUGGAAUCGCGGAGCGCAAACAUCGACACAUUGUCGAGACGGGGUUAACUCUUCUUCAUCAAGCUAAAAUACCAACAACGUACUAGACGUAUUCCUUUGCUGCCGCGGUCUAUCUAAUUAACUGACUGCCAUCUCUGGUGAUCAGAAACGACUCACCAUACCAGAAGCUUUUCGGGAAACCACCGAACUACCUCAAGCUGAGAAUAUUUGGUUGCUUAUGCUUUCCUUGGCUGAGACCGUAUACGGCGCACAAACUUGACGAUCGAUCAUUACCUUGCGUCUUUAUUGGCUACUCCAUCACGCAAAGCGCCUAUUUAUGUCUCCACCUCUCGACCGUUCGCAUUUAUACGUCUCGGCAUGUUCUGUUCGUCGAGUCUCACUUCAUAUAUGCUUCGGCUGUUCUCGACAAGGCUCCUGAUGAUCACCCCUCUCCAGCUCUCUUCACUCCACCUACUCAAAUACCGAUCUUCACGACACCACUCGUACAACACUCGUCGCCUUUACCCCCGAGCCAGAAUCCUCCAUCACAAGUGUCGCUGCCUACUCAGACGCCUUCUGUUCCUCUAGAACAGAACACGAAUAUAGGUACAUGAACUAAUUCAACUAAUACACUUACUAGUUCUGCGCAGGUACAAACAGAGACACCCACAAGCUCUUCCCCACCUCAUCCGCCUGCACCCCAACCAAAUCAAACCACCGAACCAGAACCGCAACCAUCUCCUACACCUUCAGCUACCUCAAACAACCCGAUCCCAAUGCCUUCACCACCAACACAAGUUACAAAUACUCACCCUAUGCAAACACGAGCCAAGAACAAAAUCUCUAAACCUUCCAAAAAGCUUUUCCUUCUCACCACAAAACCAAACCAAAAACCCUCGAUUCCAACUACUCUUAAUCAGGCCUUGUGAGACCAGAACUGGAGACAGUCCAUGUGUGCCGAGUACAACGCUCAACUGCAAAACCAAACCUUUGAAUUGGUUCCUCCAGAACCACAACAACAUGUCAUUGCUACAAAGUGGGUAGCAAUGACAUGUGUUCUUGAUAGGUAUAAAUUGCGGUGGGUCGCACGAGGGAACAACCAGGAGUAUGGCAUUGACUAUGCAGAUACAUUUAGCCCCUUGGUUAAGUUUAUUACCAUUUGGUUAGUUUUUCAACUAGCGGUCUCGCGAUCGUGGAGUAUCAAACAACUUGACGUCAACAAUGUCUUCCUGCAAGGCACACUAUUUGACGUUGUCUAUGUCACACAGCCACCUGGCUUUGUUGAUUCGGAUAGACCACACCAUGUUUGUCGUCUAAAGAAAGCUUUAUAUGGUCUCAAACAAGCUCCUCGAGCUUGGUACCAAGAACUCAAGACUUUUCUCUGCGCGAUGGGUUGUCAAAAUUCUCUUGUUGAUACUUCUGCGUUUAUCUACAUCAACAGUCCGCAUGUUGUCUAUAUCCUGGUGUAUGUUGACGAUAUUAUCGUCACAGGCAGUAGUGCUGAUCUCCUCAAUAAGUGUAUCACAGUUCUCUCGGCUAGAUUCUUAUACAAGGAUCCAACCGAUUUCCUCUACUUUCUCGGUGUAGAAGCCACACGUACUCAUCAUGGUCUCCACUUGAUGCAGCGGAAGUAUAUUCAGGAUCUGUUACAGAAGAUCAACAUACUGGACACCAAGCCUGUGACAACACCUAUGGCCACCUCGCCUAAGCUGGCGCUACUCUCCGGCACAGCGCUUGACGAUCCAAGGGAAUAUCGAGUGGUGUUGGGCAGUUUACAAUACCUCGCUUUUACUCACCCAUAUAUCGCUUAUAGCGUCAAUAAGCUGUCUUAAUUCAUGCAUUGCCCUACUAACCAGCAUUGGCAAGCCACUAAGAGGAUCCUCCGUUAUCUAGCUGGGACUAUGUCGCAUGGAAUUUUUCUGCCGACCAAAUCACAGUUGACACUUCACGCAUUCUCCGACGCAAACUGGGCUGGAGAUACAGACGAUUUUGUCUCCACAAAUGCCUAUAUCCUAUAUAUGGGAGCUACACCGAUAGCAUGGUCAUCAAAGAAGCAAAACAGCAUCGCCAGAUCGUCGACUGAAGCAGAAUACAGAUCAUUAGCUAACACGGGUGCAGAAAUGAGAUGGGUCUACUCGAUGUUAACCGAACUUGGUGUUACACUGCCGACGACACCUGUGGUCUACUGCGACAACGUCGAUGCUACCUAUCUCAGUGCUAAUCAUGUGUUCCAUUCGAGGAUGAAGCACUUGGCCUUAGACUUCCAUUUUGUCCGCGAGAAUGUGCAGUCCGGAGCAUUGCGAGUCACUCACAUAUCGACAAAGGAUCAACUCGCUGACGCCCUUACGAAGCCAUUAUCACGAUUCCGGUUUCAAGAACUGAUGAGCAAGAUUGGAGUGACUAAACUCCCUCCAUCUUGAGGGGGUAUGUCAGAGAGAUGUAUGAUAGAUGGAUCAUGGACACAUGACGCACUCUUCACUGGUCGUGGAUGGACAUGAUAAAAUUCUAGAGGAGAAUUUCAACUUUUGGAAACAAGAAACAAUGAAAAAGAAUUUGAUUCACUGUACUUGGAAUUUGAGGCGCUAUUAUGAGCAAUGGAGUGCAUGUUACAUAUAUCGACAUGUCAAGAUUGUGGUACCGAUUGUAAAAACCUAAUCUCAAUGAUUUAAGAUCGAGGAGCAUGUUAUAUCGCUCUUUAACCUCUCGCUAAAAAAACUAAUUGCCUAUUUCACAAAUAACCCUUUUUGCUAAGUUAAUCUAGACCGUUAAUUAAUUACUUUUACUCUAAUAGUGAUAAUUUUGCCGUGUGUGAUUUUUAUUCUUUAAAACAUUUCUCUUACCGUACCGUUAUUAACGUUUACCUCUUGCCUUUUGGUCAUUGUGAGAAAAAAAAAAAGACUCCCGUUUAUUUACCUCUCGGUCACUAAAUUUUCUCUCGAGUGAACUUCACGUUUAAAAAACCUACUAUCAGAUGUUUUUUGUUAAAUUCAAUACUAGCCGCAAGAUUGAGGAAAUAAGACACGUGUCAGUGUGGAUGUAGCGGAAUGAGCAUCCAUAUUUUUUGUUUAUAAUUUAAAUUUAUUAUUCGUUUGAUUUCCCUGAGUAAAUCGAAUAAUUAAUCGAUCAUUCUCUCUCUCUCUCCCAAUCUGCUUCACUCGCCAAACCUCUUUUCUUCGCCGGAACCCUAGGUCCGCCCCAUCAGCUUGAAUUUUCCGGUAAGUUUAACCUUCUUGACCACCGACGCAACGGAUGCGAGAGGGUAGAUAGUAUUGACGAGUUUGCUAUUGUUUUGGUGGAGCAGUAGAUGAACGUGCGAUUAGGGAACAUCUGAGGUCGGUUUUCGUCGCCGAAUGGAGGGAGGUAGCGUUUCUAUACACUCGAGUUGAAUUCAUCUCUUUGUUUAAAGCUUUGAUUUUUACACAUGUUCUCUCAUAUAUGUCAGGAAUAGCCCCAUGGAUUAUGAUGACAGUGACUUUCAAAACCAGAAUCUCCAUUUAGCUGGUGAAGCUAACACUAAGUUUCCUCCGGUGUCUCUUCCAAGGUUUGAUUUUGACGAGCAUCUGAGGUUUGAUAGUUUAGUCGAAACUGAGGCUUUUCUUGGUAUUGAGGGUAACGAAGAUAGUAACUGGAUUGAGGAUUUCUCUCGUGCAAGUAGUGGUGUAGUGUUUAGCUCAGCUGCAACUGAGUCUUGUGCCAUUUCUAGGCAUACUAAUGUUUGGUCUGAGGCUACUUCCUCAGAAUCCGUUGAAAUGCUUUUGAAUUCGGUUGGACAGGACGACCAAGUCAUUGUAAGAGAGAAAGAUAAUUCUAUCAAGAAAUCUGGUGAUCUAGGCUGCACAAUGGAUCAAUUGGAGCCUGGCCUUGAGACUAUUCUUUCCAAAGAGGAAACUCCCACCAACCCUUCUGUGGAUGAUACUCCAGCAGACUCCUGCAAGACAGAUGCUGCACAGGAACAGGUCCCGCUGAAAGAUGACUCACCAACUCUUGUGGAGGAGGAGCCGGAAGAUAAUGCCAUUUUGGCUUCAAAUACAGCCGCUGUGCCUGUAGAGGUUGUGGAUACUGCUUGUCAUGAUAAGAUAGGGACUGAGACAACGCAUAGUCUUCUUGACCAAACCGUUGCGGAAAAUAAUGCAGUUUUAGCUCAUGUGAGUUCUGCUGGUCUUGAUACGAUAGGAACUGAGACGACUGAUAGUGUUCAUAACCAAACCCUUACGGAAGAGGCAUCCAUGGAGGAAAACAAUGUCGUUUUACCUUCAGAUACCGGGACUGUAGAGGCUGUGGAUACUGGUGGUCAUGCCAAUAUAAGAACUGAGACUACUGAUAGUCUUCUUGACCAAACAGAAGACGAAGCCAACACAGAAUCAAGGAUGGAAAUCGAUUGUAGCCACGGAACUGUACAGACUGGGGUUUCUGCUAGUGGUGAGUUGAAUAAUCAUAAUCAGACCACUUUGCUUCCAGAGCUUUUCAAUGAUGAAAAUGAUAUCAGCGACCACACUGCUAAGUCUGAUCUGAAGGAUAUGGAGCUAUCUGAUGUCACGGUACUAGAAAGAGGGGACCAAGCUCUCUCUUCUCUUGAGGUAGCUGAACCAGACGUUUCAGGGAUCCAAUGCCAAGAUCUUCCUGUCAGCAGUGCCAAUACCAGCGCAACAGUUGAAGCAUCUUUGGAACUCACUGGGGUAUUACCAAAUAUAACAAGCAGUGAACAUGAAUCUACUUUUCAGACUCAGACACAUACAGAGAUACUUCGAGUUGAGACUUCAGAAAGUGUUCAUGUUUCGCAAAUGGACUCAAUGGUUGAAUCCACAGAUGGUGAUGUGUCUAGGAAGGGUGACAAUAAGAAAGGUAGUGCUCGCAUAUCUUAUCUCAAACAAAACAUGGAAUUAGCUGUCAAUGCCAAUGAUAGAGAUCAGGAUGCCAAGAGCUCUCAAGUCUUAUCUGAAAGCUUUGUAUCCGAGUCUGUUGGUUAUGUUUCAAGAGACUCUGCAUCCAAGCUGGUGGAGUCAAAUUCUCAGUCUGACACCAUUCCAAAAGAAAAUCCAGGUAAUUAUGUUGUCUCAUUCUUUUGAUAUAUACUUUUAUACUCUUGGUUCUGCAUUUUUUUUCUUUUUUUUUUUUUUUUUUUUGGGUUUUGAUAUAUCAUAAUUAUUUAUAUAUAAACCCUCUACAUGUGUAUGUGUAUACAUUUUAUUUCUCAGGGACUAUGAUUGACAUUAAAGAAUGUGAAGCCUUUCCUCUCAAACCUGAAGAAUCGCGACAUCUAAGCCAAGAUGGAGCUUCUGCUGUCAGUCUUACAUCUUCAGUAGAUUUACAUAUGGUGACUACAUCAUCUGAGGCUAAUGAGCAAGUCAAUUUCUCUGUAACCGAGAAGGUUUUAUCUGGCGAACCUGAAAAUUGCCAAACUGUUUCACCUGUGAAAGCAAGUAAUUCAGGGAUUCAUAUUGCACAACAACCUAGCAAGCAUACUGAAGAUACUCAGCAAAGUACACAAUUUCUCCAUGGUUGUCCUACCUCUGAAGGGUCAAAGGAUGCAGUAGAUGCUGAUGCCGCUGGACAAGUUUUGCCUCAGCAGUGCGAGGAAACAAUUUUAGAAAAAAAUCUAACAGAAGUUGUAGACGUCCCUGGUAAAUGUUUUUUUUUUUUUUUUGCACGUGCUCUUUUCUUUGUAUACUGUCGUUCCGUUAAGACCUUACCAUAUUUGCGUUUUCCUUAGAGACUCGGUCAAUCCUGGACAAGGAUGCCUUAAAUGAAAAACCUAAAGCUAGCUCCUUGGCUAAUCUUCGGACUGAAGCUGUGGCAGAUUGCCAGGAAGAGGAUAAGACUGCUGCAUCCGGUAGGAUUAUGACAUCUGCUACUUCUGUUUCAUACCCCGCAGGUGAGUUUGUAUGAUCAUGUGAAACUUUCUUUCUAGCAGUUUCUUCUGAUUUUUUUUUUUAUUUUUUAGAAUGGUUUAUUUAGAAAGAUACAUAUUAGGUAUGUGAAUAUUUGUGAAUUCAUACAGAUCCGGAUGCCAAGAGCUCUCAUGUCUUAUCUGAAAGCGUUGUGUCUGAGUCUGUUGGUUAUGUUAUAAGAGACUCCGCAUCCAAGCUGGUGGAGUCAAAUUCUCAGUCUGACACCAUUCCAAUAGACAAAUCAGGUAAUUAUAUUGUCUCAUUCUUUUGAUAUAUAGUUUCAUACUCUGGGUUCUGUAUUUCUUCUUCUUCUUUCUUUUUUUUUUGGGUUUAGCGUACAGCCGGUAAUUGCAUACAAAAUUGAUAUAUCAUAAUUACUUAUUUAUAACACUCUACAUGUGUAUGUGUAUACCUUUUAUAUCUCAGGGACAAUGACUGACGGUAAAGAAUGUGAAGCAUUUCCUCUCAAACCUGAAGAAUCGCAACAUCUAAGCCAAGAUGGAGCACCUGCUGUCAGUCUUACAUCUGCAGUAGAUUUGCAUAUGGUGACUACAUCAUCUGAGGCUAAUGAGCAAGUCAAUUUCUCUGUAACCGGGAAGGUUUCAUCUGCCGAACCUGAAAAUUGUCAAACUGUUCUACCCGUGGAAGCAAGUAAUUCAGGGGGUCCUAUUGUACAACAACCUAGGAAGCAGACUGAAGAUACUCACCAAAGUUCACAAUUUGUCGAAGGCUGUCCUGCCUCUGAAGGGCCAAAGGAUGCAGUAGAUGCUGAUGCCGCUGGACAAGUUUUGCCUCAGCAGUGUGAGGGAAGAAUUUUAGAAGAAAAUCUAACAGAAGUUGUAAACGUCCCUGGUAAUGUUUUUUUUUUUUGGCCGUAGUAUUUGCACGUGUAGUCUUUUCUUUGUAUAUUGUCGUUCCGUAAAGACCUUACCAUAUUUGUUUACUCUUUGAUGGUUUGAUUUAUGUUGAAGUAAUCUCUUUUCUUUUGCGUUUUCCCCAGAGUCUCAGUCAGUUCUGGACAACGAUGCCAUAAAUGAAAACCCUAGUGCUAGCUCCUUGGCUAAGACUGCUACCGGUGGGAUUAAGACAGUUGCGACUCCUGUUUCACACCCCACAGGUGAGUGUGUAUGAUCAUGUAGCAGCAAGAAGUUUCUUCUGAUUUUUUAGAAUGGUUUAUUAAAAAGAUACAUAUUAGGUGUGUUUCCACGAUAGAAUCAAUAAUCUGUGUAAAUUUUAAAUAAGAGAAUUUGUCUGUUAAAAAAUGCAGUUACUAUAAACUUAUGACUAAGUUUUACCGGUCUUGAUCUUGGGACGACCAAUGCUUUUCCUUUUCUAGAUUCGUGGAAUAAAAGAAUGUGCACUCAUCGAAAAUAUAUACCUGUCCUUGCGGAUAUUGCAGGUGGUGUAAUUGAGGUAGGAGUGUCCUGUGCUUCUACAAGUUCUGAGCCUUUUGUAAAGUCCCAUGUUACUGGAACUGAAAACGCUGCUACAGAUUUAGGGUCUCAUGUCAUUUCUUCCCCAGCUCGUAAGAUGACCGAACUACAACUUAGUAAGACAGAGGAUCAGAAAAAGACAGAGGAUCAGAAUACUUUGAGUUUGAUGGCUACCGAAUCUCCGGUCUUGGAUAGAAACCCGACCUCCAGCAGUGGGCUGAACUUGACUUCCGAUUCAAGGAAAGCAGUGGAAAUUUCCGAAACUACCCUUGUCUCUCCGGUACGUCCGAUCUAUAUCUCAACAUAGUUUCAUCACUAGACAAAGCGAAUGCUGUUACAUUAUGUUGUUAUCAUCCUUACGUAGCAUAUGCUUUUGUUUAUUCAGAUGGUGGUGGGAUCUCCGUCAAAAUCUAGCUUAGAGAAAACAGCUGCGAAGUCUUCGAAAACAAAAUCUGAGCGUAAACCCAGGCGAACACCUAAAUCUGCAGGAAAAGAGACUUCUAGAAAAGGAAAUAGUGUAAAGGGGGCUGCACCUUUUCAACAUUUUCAAAGUGCAGGCAAAGCAAAUGCUGUUAAUCAGAGUUCUGGUUCUUCUAUUCAAAUCACACACUCUACUGAGAAACAGCAAAGUCUUCAGACUCCUGUUCUUAAUUCGUUUGGUACCCUUUCAGCCCCCACGACUAGUCUACCGGAAAUGAAUUCUACUGCUCCCUCAAGCAUUUUUCGUCGACCUUUCACUGACUCGCAACAAGUGCAACUACGUGCACAGAUUUUUGUUUAUGGUGGUCUAAUGUAAGUUCUAUGUUACGUGCUCGUAAGUUUUGUUGAGUCAGAGAGACUCAGUAGCGAUCUCAUUCAGAGUUCUUGCACAUCUUACUGUCUUACAAAAUUAUAAUUGUUUUGUUUUUUUCUCUCCCGUUACAGCCAAGGGACAGCACCCGAUGAAGCUUAUAUGAUAUCUGCAUUUGGUAGUGCUGGUAAGACUAUUAUUCUCUUAACCUAUUGUAUUACCCAUUUUUGAGAGAAAGCAUGUUGAUUCUGAACUUCUCUAGAUGGUGGGAGAGGCACUUGGGAGAAAGCAUGGCGUGCUUGUGCUGUGAGGGCUCAGAGAAUGCGUGUUUCUAGUCCUGAAACGCCAUUGCAAUCACGUGCAGGUUUCUAGUUCGAUUUAUUCAGCUCUUAUGGUUAUAUUUUAUUUCUCAGCUCUGCUGCUGUUUGCAUUCCGUAGCUAAAUACCCGAAACUGCAUUCCAGGGAAGACAGAGACCCCGUCAAUGAGUCACACCAGUAGCAAAGUGAGUUCAGCGACGAAACCCAUAAUUCCACUCUCAUCACCUUUAUGGAGUUUGUCAACUCCCCUCGAAACUUUACAAUCAAGAAGCAUUCAGAGAGGUUCAGCUGCUGCACCACUGCCUUCUUCAUCACAUGCUCAUCAAGCUGCAUCAGUAACGAAUAUUGGACAUAAUACGGCUUGGAUGUCCCCUCUCCCUUACCCCAACCCGUGGCUUGCUUCUCCGCAGACCAGUGGGUUCGAUGUUGGUUCUCGUUUCCCCGUUUUCCCGAUCACCGAAUCUGUAAAAUUGACACCCACAAAAGAAUCGUCCUUGCCUUACUCUGGCGGUAAGCAUGUUCUGAGUGGAACUUCUGGCAAUGUUUUCAAAGGGACACAAACACUUGAGCCAGCCAGUACAGUUGUAGCACCUGCUCAACACUCCACUGGGACGAAAUCAAGGAAACGGAAGAAAAUGCCAGUCUCUGUGGAGUCUGAUCCAAGCAUUUUAAAUUCGCUACAGCAGACAGAAGUAGUUGUCUCACCUCUUGUUUCUAUAUCAACACCUGUACCUAUUACAGCUGCUCCGGGUAGUCUGUCUUCUAACGCAGGCACACUGGCCAGUGUUGAUUCCAUCUCUGCAGUCCCUAUGAACCUGGUAUCUACGUUCCCUGGGAAGAAAAUGAAAUCAUCUUUGCAAUCCCCAAUUUUUGGUGGUAACCUUGUAUCUGAAGUUAAGCAGAGAUCUGUGUUGCCGGCAGAUACCAUUGAUAAGCUUAAUGAGGCUAAGAUGCAUGCAGAGGAUGCUUCUGCUCUCGCUACUGCAGCCGUUAGUCACAGCGAAUACGUAUGGAAGCAGAUAGAGCAACAGAGGCAUGCUGGCCUCCAGCCAGAAACUCAAGGCAGAUUAGCUUCCGCUGCUGUUGCCAUAGCUGCUGCCGCUGCAGUGGCAAAGGCUGCAGCUGCCGCCGCCAAUGUCGCAGCUAAUGCGGCGUUUCAGGCAAAAUUAAUGGCUGAAGAAGCAUCCCUUCCUAGUGUUUCUUAUCAGGGUAAUGAUCUCCACAAGUCAAAUGAUGUACUAACUCAAGGCCAGGGUACCCCUGCUUCUGUCUUGAAGGGUGAAGGUGCAGUGGUCAGCUCCAGUCCGUUCCUUAGUGCUGCCAGAGAGGCGGCUAAGAAGAGGGUCGAGGCUGCCACAGCGGCCACCAAACGAGCUGAAAAUGUGGAGUCUAUUGUUAAGGCAGCAGAACUGGCAUCAGAGGCGGUUUCACAAGCUGGAAUACUUGUUUCAAUGGGUCAUCCUCCGUCGCUCAAUAAGCUGGUGGAGGUGGGUCCAAGUAAUUAUUGGAGGCAGGCUCAAGAAUCUGAGAAAGCGCAGCCUUGUAAAGUGGGUGUAUUAGAAAAAGAAACUGAGACUACUAGUGAUAGAGGUUUUGCUAGUCCCAGCACUGCGCAUACUGAGUUGGAUGGCUCCGUGAGAGCAGCUGAUGGUCUAGGUCUAGUUUCUGCCACUGGAAAGAAAACAAAUGGACAGAAAGGUCAUAUAAGUGCAGACGUGGCUAAACACACUGCUGUAGUUUUCGAGCCAGAAGUUGGGUCAAAAUCUUCGAUUGACACCCAGACUGAAAGUGAGCAGAUUAUGAAAAAAACAAACGACGAGUGCAUCAAGGAAGGUUCUCAUGUAGAGGUUUGUGCUAUGUUUGCAUAUAUACACUUUCUAUAGCAAACUGCUCGCUGCUGGUUGUGUUUCUUUUUGUAAUGGAGAUAAAAAAUUUCUAUGUAGGUUUUCAAGGAAGGACCUGAAUUAAGAACCGCAUGGUACUCUGCCAAUGUAUUGAGCUUAGAGGAUGGGAAAGCUUAUGUGCUGUUCAGUGACCUUUCUGUAGAACAAGGUUUAUUAGUUGGCCAUAAAUUUUUUUAUGUUGUCCUUGCAGUGAUCGGUAUUUGAUCGUUAUCUUUCAUUUACUUUACAUAUUGCUCCAAGUGUAUGAUAUAUAUGUAACCGUAUAUAAUCACCCACUUUCCAUUAUUAUAUUUUAUGCAUGUGCAGUACUCUAUUAGUUGAUCCGAUUCUUUUAUCUCUUAUCAGGAACAGAUAAGCUGAAGGAGUGGGUAGCCCUCAAAGGUGAAGGUGAUGAGGCCCCGAAAAUAAGAACUGCUCGUUCUAUUACUGCCCUGCCAUAUGAAGGAACCAGGAAGAGGCGUAGAGCUGCCAUUGGGGAUCCUGUGUGGAAAAUUGGAGAUAGGGUAGACUCGUGGGUUCAUGACAGGUAACAGCAAUGAUCCCACAACACAAAAUCUGAAUUGUUUUGAAUUUUCCGUUUUGUGAAAUCCUAUUCUAUUCGUUCCACUAACUUUGGAAGCUUUAUCUAUGUGUUUUGUUCUCCUUUAGUUGGUUGGAGGGUGUUAUCACGGAGAAGAACAAAAAUGAUGAAAAUACAGUGACUGUGCAUUUUCCAGGUUCGUAAAGACGUGUGAUGAAGAUAUCUCAUUUUCAUGUUCUAAACUGUUUGUCACUUUUCUUUUUGGCAGCACAAGGAGAGACUUUGACUAUCAAAGUUUGGAAUCUUCGUCCUUCUCUUGUAUGGAAAGAUGGAAGGUGGAUUGAAUGUUCUACUUCAGGAGAAAACAUCAGCUCGUCACAUGAGGUACUACUAUGACCCUUCUGUGAAGCUAGAAGCUUCGUUUUGGAUGCUUUGCUAUUUUGAAUGACUCGAAAAUUUGAAUUGCAGGGUGAUACUCCAAAGGAGAAGCGUCCUAGACUAGGAGCUCCAUCUCCUGUGGCUGAAGGAAAAGACACAAAAAUGGAAACUGUCGUUGGUCCGGAUUUAGGUAAACCGCCUCAGACUGGUGUUCUUGACCUCGGUGUUUCAGAGACUACAUUUAACAUCGGGAGAAAGGAGGGCAAUCCUGGUCCACUCCGAAUGAAGAGAACCGGUUUGCAAACGCAGGGAGCAAAAGUGAUCUAUGGUGUCCCUAAACCUGGAAAGACAAGGAAGUUCAUGGACGUGAGCAAACACUACGUUUCAGAGGCGAGCAAUCAAACUCGGAAACAGAAGGAACCAGCUAAGGCUGUGAAACCAAUUGUGCCCCAAAAUCCAGGACCAGGGAGCUGGAGAUUGCCUUCUAAACCGAGAGAAAAACAGACGACAACAACAACGAAGCCCAAGACUUUCAAACCUGCGCCCAAGACCAAAGAGAAGCCGGUUGCUGCACCUAGGAUAAUUCCCCGCAAGGACUCUCGUUAUACAACAUCCUCAAAUAUGGAAUCUGAAGAUGCCGUUGGUCAGAGUGGAGAGAACAAAGGUCCUGCAUCAACUUCCAGGGAUCCAGGCAAGGGAACAGGGGAAGAGCAAAUCACAUCAUCUUCACAACAAGGCCAAGAUACUUGUUCCCAGUCAAGCACUACUGGUAAAGGGAAAGUAGCUCCUACUGCAGGGAGGUUAGCCAAGAUUGUAGAGGAUAAGGCGUCGGAUGAUAAUUCUUCAAAAGCAUCAGAUGGAAUGGAACCACGUAGGUCUGUCCGCAGGAUUCAGCCAACUUCUAGAGUAAGUAUACAGGACACUACAUUAAUUUCUAUAUGGCAAUCACUUUAAUUUACUUUUGAGUUUAUGUGCUUUGCUCUCUAGCUACUUGAAGGUCUGCAAACAUCGAUGAUGACCUCAAAGAUUCCUUCCAUGUCACACAGCAGAAGUCACCAAAGUCAAAGGAAAAAGUAACUCUAGAGGUGAUGUUCUAUAGUGUCUAGUAGUAAAAUGACUUGGACGCAACUAUAUUGAGCUACGAGUCUAAGACUAUAGAUUUUGUUUUUGGCAGGCAAGUAGGUGAUGGAAGUAGCAAAAGCAAGUGCACAUAAAAACCUAAAAGGAAGUAAGAGGCAGUCUGCUGCUGUUUGGUUCAAGCUCCGUUGUUGGUUGGGGGAGAGAUGAUAUGUUAUUGUAGGUGUGUUUUUGAUGUUUAUUUUAGUCAGAUGUUCUAUCUCUCUCACUCGGUGUGUCUCAGUGAGAUAAGAUGAAGUAUAUUCGUGACAUUGUUGUAGGAACUAAAACAACAGUUUUAUUAUUGCCAAGUAUCAUCAUCAUCUUCCCUGACUCUAUUUAAUCCUCUCAUCAAGUAUAUAGAUACAUUUGUUUCACAUUUAUUUAAGAUUAUGAUCGAUCAUACGACUGAAUUAUUACACAGUUGUUACAGGAGCAAAAGCUUCUUGUAUUGUCUAAACAGGCUGGGCAUGCCACUUCUGAAUCUUGUCUAAACAGUUGACUAACGUCUUGGCUCGGUUUUGGAAUCCCCUUGAACUGAAUCUUGUUCUCUUUGUUCUACGGUCAUGGAUCAAGUGAACGGGAACUGGAAUCUCCCAUUUGAUGAACUCCUUGUACCAUGUGUACAAUGUUGUUUUGGGAGCAAGAACCAAAGGCCUCUUCCCACGAAAUAUCUUCAAGUAGCUUGCGAGAAAAGCUAUGAUGAGAAAUGUUUUGCCUGCUCCUGGGGUAUGAGAAACCACACAGCCACCUAUCUUAUCUGAACUUGGAUCCAUCAUCGAAGGAACCACUGACCCGGCUAGGUUUCUCCAGAGAAACUCAAAAGCUUUCUUCUGGUGCAUGUGGAGUUUUCUCUUAAGCUGUGGUAUUAGUGACCAAACGUUCUCACUUUCUUCAGGUGAAGGAACCUCUAAGGAGGCCACGGGCAUAGUGAAACUGCGUCUCUCAUCUCCAUCUUGUUUCACCUUAGUGUCUAUGUCUUCUUAUAUCACAAGAUAGUAAAUAUGAUAAAGCUUUAAUUCAAAAACAAAACAUAAUUAUAUAUUAAAAUAUGAACUAUGUUGAAUGUCCUUGCUUUAGACCUUUGCAUGAAAGAUCUUCUAUUCCUAAAUGAUAAACAAUUUUAUAUAAUAUAUGGUAAAUCUCCUAAAACACCACAAAAAUAUUUUUUGACCAAAAGAACACAAAUGGUGUAUUUAUAGGAGUUUUGAUGAUUUGUAUUAAAAUAACAAAAUCACUUUUAUUCAAACAUGUUUUUUUAAAACACUUUAAAAUCUAGUGUUAUUGAAUAUGUCAUUUCAUAAAACACUUUGAUAUCAUUGUUAUUGAACAAAAUUUAAAUUGAAGAUUUUAAAGUGGUUUAAGUGUACAAAGUUAGUUUUCUCUCAUUGAGAUGUGAAUGUAAAUGUGCGGAAACAUGAAGUUUCUAUUAAGAGUUUUGAUGACUUUUUGUCCUCAUCUUCUUCUUCUACUGGUUCUAUAUGAGGCCGACUAAGGACUGCAAAACUCGAACUCCAUUGUCAUCAUCACCACUUCAGAAAUCGUUCUCGCUACGGCUAUAACCAUUGGAGAGGGAGGCUUAAGGGAAACUGGAGUAAAUGAGCAUCAACUGAUAUUGACCAACGACAAUGAUUUUCGCCGAGUGGAAUCCUUAUGCUUUAUGCUUAUCGCUUAAAUCAGAUUAAAAUAUUGCAAACAGUUUUUCUAUAAAAUUAUUUUAUAAAAACAUUAGAACAUCAGAUAAAAAUAUUGCAUGAAGACUUCUGAUGCAAAGGUUACAUUCAAAACUGGCUGGUGGACCAAUUGUUCAGUGUUUACAAUGAGGUCGAAUCUUCCAAAGAUUUAUGGGACGCUCUGAAAUAAAAUACAAGUCUUUCAAUGUAGGCUCUGAGAAAUUUGCCACUGGAAAAUUUCUCAAAUUCGUGAUGGUCGAUUCACGAUCUAUUAUGGAUCAAGUGCAUGAACUACAAUUGAUCUGUAAACAAUUCACUGAAGAGCGAAUGAAGUUUUGUGAGACUUUCACAGUAAACUGCUUCAUCGAAAAGCUUCCUCCCAAGUUGAAAAGAUUUCAAGAAUUAUCUUGUUUACAAGCAAAAGGCCUUGACGUUGUCAAAUCUGAUUAUCAGGCUUCAGAAUGAGUCACUAAAACAUGAAAAGGAAGUGCCAACUCAUACUCACGAUGUCAAUGUCUCUGAGCAUAAGAAUAAGGGCAAAGGAAAGGCAAGAUUCCAAAAAUUUAGGCCGAACAAGCUUGCUCAAUAAGCACCCACGAGCUUCAAGAAACAGGGCCAACAUCCCACUAAUAACAAAUUCGUUGGGAAGUGCAACUGAUGUGGCAAACUAGGACAUAUAUCCUCAACAAAAUGCUUCAUAAGGUAACUCGCAAAACGCAACAUGAAAUUUUGAAAAGUAACCUACCUUCGCACAAAUACCUCAAAGUGUGGGGGUGCUUGGCAAAAGUUGCAGUGCCACCUCCGAAAAGGUCUCAAUUGGACCUAAAACCGUGGAUGUUUUAUUCAUUGGUAAAGCACACAACAGUACCGCUUAUAGGUUUCUUGAAAUAAAAUCAGAUGUACCUGACAUCCAUGUUAAUACUAUCACGGAAUCGAGGAAUGCUUCAUUCUUUGAAGACAUAUUUCUGUGUAAGGAUAAACAACAUCUCAAAUGCGCUCGUGAAGAAAUCGAUGUGGUUAUCUCCAUUGAUGAGGAAAGUACUUCUGGAACUUCUGCAAUCAAAGCAUAAGAUGUUGUAGACAAACCUAGACGAAGCAAGAUACCUCGUAAGGAAAAGUCUUUUGGUGAAGAUUUCAUGAUCAUAUUUCUGGCUGAGAACGAUCCGAAAUCUUACGUUGAAGCCAUGUCUAACCCUGACGUAGACUUCUGGAAAGAAGCAGUCAAUAGUGAAUUUGAUUAUAUAUUACAGAAUCAUACCUUCUAGAUGGUUGAUUUUCCUCCAGGGUUUAACCCACUAGAGUCUAGAUGGCUGUUCAGAAGGAAAUUGAAAACUGAUGGUUUAGUUGAUAAGCACAAGCCUGGUGGUGCAAGGACAUAGACAAAAAGAAUAUGUAGAUUUCUUUGGCAUUUAUUCUCCAGUAACGAGAAUAAAUUCAACCAGACUCUUGAUCACAAUUGUUUAAGAAACUUGGAAAUCCAUCAAAUGGAUGUUAAAACUGUCUUUCUAAAUGGAGAUUUAGAAGAGGAGAUAUACGUGAAACAAUCUGAAGGUUUCGUGGUUCAGGGUUAAGAACAAAAAAUUUGAAAAUUCGUAAAGUCGUUGUAUGAAAUGAAGCAAGCUCCAAAACAAUGACAUGAAAAUUUUGACAAUGUAAUGUUGUCAAAUGAUUUCCGCAUUAGUGAAUGUGAUGAAUGCAUUUACGUCAAAAGUAUUCCUAGUGGGUAUAUUUUGUUGUGCUUGUAUGUGGAUGACAUUCUCAUCAUCGGCAGCAACAAAGAUAUCAUCCAACAAACCAAGAACAUACUUAAUAGUCAGUUCGACAUGAAAGACAUGGGUCUUCCAGAUGUUAUUAUUGAUAUUAAGAUCACAAAGACUCCUAAUGGGAUAACCUUAUCUCACGAUCAUUAUGCUGAAAACAUACUUGAGAAGUUCAUGAUCUAUUCUAGUUGAACUGCAGAAACUCAUGUUGACACUAUGUUGCACUUGAUCAAGAACGUAGGCGAGACAGUGUUAUAAGGGGAGUAUGCACGGGUAAUUGCAAGUCUGAUGUACUUAACCAAUUGUACAAGACCUAAUCUAGUGUGAGCGGUUAACGUAUUAAGUCACUACACAAGUAAUCCAUGUCAUACACAAGCGGUUAACGUAUUAAGUCACUAACGUAUUAAACUCAUUCUGAUGAGCCAUCCAGAUGACUUGUACUUUUAAUGUCUAAAGGAACAAAACUCUCAUAUUCAUCUAGAUGGCUCAUCUGGAUGGAGAAUCGAACAGCGCUCCCUCCCUAUUUCACCUUUAUAGUGUCUAUGGAUUAUUUACAAUAGAUUUUUUUAAGAAAGAAUUACACUCAUAGGCAGUUUUCUAGUUUAUUUUUUCACUAUAAGAAAGUUUCAGCUACCAACUAGGGGUGUUCAAUCCGGAUAUCAGUUCGGUUAAUUAGGUUUGAUAUUUCGGUUAGUAAAAUAUAACUACCAUUCUAAAUCCAUAUUUACUUCGGUUCGGUUCGGUUUAUAUACCGUCGGUUUUUGGUUUAUUCGGUUUUAUACCAAAAAACAUAAUUAUUUAGUUUUAGAUCAUAUUAUAUGAAUUUUAGAGUCAUAUUGUCAACACAGUCAUUUAUUAAAAAUAUAUUACAUGUUCAAAUAAAUGAACAAAAAAGUAAAAAUGCUUUUACCAUCAAAUAAAAUAAUCAAUUCUAUAACUAAAAUGAAAGCUUGAAAUUUUGAAAAUAAAAAUAUAAAACAAAACAGAAACAUGAAAGAAAAGUUUUUCCACUCUUCUAUAUUUAGUGUUCAUUAAAGUCAUACUUUUUCAAUUGAACACGAAACUCUGUUUGUUUACCGAUAAAAAAAAAGUUGUGAAAAUUUUCCAUUAAUUAUUGACCAUCAAAUUUAUAAUCUUCAUAUUAAUUUAGUGAAGACUAAAAUAAAGCAAAAAGAUCAAAAGAAGACUUAGAAAAUAAGAUGUCUGAAUUGCGAUGUAUUGUUAUUUAAUUAUAGUUCAAGUGUUUUACAAAUUAAGGUUCUUUAUUACUAUAAAAUUAUGGUAAUAGUUAUUAAAACAAAUUUAACUUAUGUAACAAAUAGCUUUUCAUGUAUUGUUAUAAAAUAGAUACAUAUUUACAUGUUUCUACUUUUAAUCGGUUUUGUUCGGUUUAAUCGGUUAUAUACCAAACCAUAUCCAAUUUCUACGGUUUUUAUAAAAUUAUAUCCAUUCGGUUUAUAUGGUAUAUACCAAAACCAAACCAUAUUGUCUAUUUUGGUUCGGUUCGGUACGGUUUGGUUUUACCAUAUUGAACAGUCCUACCAACACACUUUUUCUCAAUUUCAACACUUUCUCUCUUAUUCCCAGCUUAUGGAAACCCAUCGCUACCAUUUUUCUAUUAUUUCUAACUGAAACCUAACUAAAAUACAAGAAUUAAACUAUGUGGCCACAAAUCAAUUUCUUUUUCUCUUUCCUUAUCUCUUAAAUUUUUCUUCGUUUUCUCAUAUAAUUUUUUUCUUUUGUAAAACAAAUCAUGUUGAGAGGAAGAUUAAGAUUAAUAGGUAUAUUUGAAACAUGAUGACGAUGGAGUUCGAGUUUUGCAGUCCUUAGUCGGCCUCAUAUAAAACAAGUAGAAGAAGAAGAUGAAGUCAAAGAUGGCGACAGCAGUGAGGACAGAGACGACAACGACAAGGAUGAAGAAGGUGAGGUGUGAUUAUGAGAUACUAAGUUUGAAUGGAAUCAUCGGCAUCAACAUUUGAAAUCCUCGACUCUUCUUCCACUAUGGAUUUAACAAUCGUUCCAGUGAUGGAUAGAUAACUCCGAUGAACUUGGGUUGUGCAUGUCGCUGCUUCCUUAUGUUUUCAACGAACCGGCUAUGACUGAACUGAAAUCUAAUGAGUUCUUGUCUUCUGAUUUUCCUCCACCGAACUUUCCAUCUCACCAACCAAAGAACCAGGAUUCCACUCGGCGGAAAUCGUUGUCGUUGGUCAAUAUCAGCUUAUGCUCAUCUACUCCAGUUUCCCUUACGCCUCCGCUCUCCGAUGGAUGUAGCCGUCGUGAGAACGAUUUCUGAAGUGGUGAUGAUGUCUCAUUCCAGUGGAGUUUUUUACAUCCAUAUUUGAAAUCAUAUAACUUCUUAUUUGCUAACAAGAAGGAGAAAUCAGUGUUAAAAGCCAUUGAUUUGGGCUUCUCUAUGUUCUUUGAAUCUUGUAAAGAUUACAUCUUUGGAAUAUUAGUGUUCAUCCUAUGAAUCUGCUGCUUAUGUAAAAAAAAUUCCUUUGUUGAAAGAGAUAAGUUCACAUAGAUUGUAGGGAGUCCAUAUUAUAUUGGUUUGAAGUGUCGAACUAACACGGUUUUUAUGUGUGUAAAUGUAAAUAUGUGUACACAUGGAUGUUGUGAAAUUGUGUACACGUGACAAAAAGUCAUCAAGACUCUUAAUAGAAACUUCAUGUUUCCGCACAUUUACAUUCACAUCUCAAUGAGAGAAAAUUAACUUGAUACACUUAAACCACUCUAAAAUCUUCAAUUUAAAUUUUGUUCAAUAACAAUGAUAUCAAAGUGUUUUAUGAAAUGACAUAUUCAAUAACACUGGAUUUUAAAGUGUUUUAAAAAAACAUGUUUGAAUAAUAGUGAAUUUAUUAUUUUAAUACAAAUCAUCAAAACUCCUAGUUAAAUACACCAUUUGUGUUCUUUUGGUCAAAAAAUAUUUUUGUGGUGUUUUAGGAGAUUUACCAUAUAUUAUAUAAAAUUGUUUAUCAUUUUUGGAAUAGAAGAUCUUUCAUGCAAAGGUCUAAAGCAAGGACAUUCAACAUAGUUCAUAUUUUAAUAUAUAAUUAUGUUUUGUUUUUGAAUUAGAGCUUUAUCAUUUUUACUAUCUUGUGAUAUAAGAAGACAUAGACACUAAGGUGAAACAAGAUGGAGAUGAGAGACGCAGUUUCACUAUGCCCGUGGCCUCCUUAGAGGUUCCUUCACCUGAAGAAAGUGAGAACGUUUGGUCGCUAAUACCACAGCUUAAGAGAAAACUCCACAUGCACCAGAAGAAAGCUUUAGAGUUUCUCUGGAGAAACCUAGCCGGGUCAGUGGUUCCUUCGAUGAUGGAUCCAAGUUCAGAUAAGAUAGGUGGCUGUGUGGUUUCUUAUACCCCAGGAGCAGGCAAAACAUUUCUCAUCAUACCUUUUCUCGCAAGCUACUUGAAGAUAUUCCGUGGGAAGAGGCCUUUGGUUCUUGCUCCCAAAACAACAUUGUACACAUGGUACAAGAAGUUCAUAAAAUGGGAGAUUCCAGUUCCCGUUCACUUGAUCCAUGACCGUAGAACAAAGAGAACAAGAUUCAGUUCAAGGGGAUUCCAAAACCAAGCCAAGACGUUAGUCAACUGUUUAGACAAGAUUCAGAAGUGGCAUGCCCAGCCUGUUUAGACAAUACAAGAAGCUUUUGCUCCUGUAACAACUGUGUAAUAAUUCAGUCGUAUGAUCGAUCAUAAUCUUAAAUAAAUGUGAAACAAAUGUAUCUAUAUACUUGAUGAGAGGAUUAAAUAGAGUCAGGGAAGAUGAUGAUGAUACUUGGCAAUAAUAAAACUGUUGUUUUAGUUCCUACAACAAUGUCACGAAUAUACUUCAACUUAUCUCACUGAGACACACCGAGUGAGAGAGAGAGAACAUCUGACUAAAAUAAACAUCAAAAACACACCUACAAUAACAUAUCAUCUCUCCCCCAACCAACAACGGAGCUUGAACCAAACAGCAGCAGACUGCCUCUUACUUCCUUUUAGGUUUUUAUGUGCACUUAGCUUUUGCUACUUCCAUCACCUACUUGCCUGCCAAAAACAAAAUCUAUAGUCUUAGACUCGUAGCUCAAUAUAGUUGCCUCCAAGUCAUUUUACUACUAGACACUAUAGAACAUCACCUCUAGAGUUACUUUUUCCUUUGACUUUGGUGACUUCUGCUGUGUGACAUGGAAGGAAUCUUUGAGGUCAUCAUCGAUGUUUGCAGACCUUCAAGUAGCUAGAGAGCAAAGCACAUAAACUCAAAAGUAAAUUAAAGUGAUUGCCAUAUAGAAAUUAAUGUAGUGUCCUGUAUACUUACUCUAGAAGUUGGCUGAAUCCUGCGGACAGACCUACGUGGUUCCAUUCCAUCUGAUGCUUUUGAAGAAUUAUCAUCCGACGCCUUAUCCUCUACAAUCUUGGCUAACCUCCCUGCAGUAGGAGCUACUUUCCCUUUACCAGUAGUGCUUGACUGGGAACAAGUAUCUUGGCCUUGUUGUGAAGAUGAUGUGAUUUGCUCUUCCCCUGUUCCCUUGGCUGGAUCCCUGGAAGUUGAUGCAGGACCUUUGUUCUCUCCACUCUGACCAACGGCAUCUUCAGAUUCCAUAUUUGAGGAUGUUGUAUAACGAGAGUCCUUGCGGGGAAUUAUCCUAGGUGCAGCAACCGGCUUCUCUUUGGUCUUGGGCGCAGGUUUGAAAGUCUUGGGCUUCGUUGUUGUUGUCGUCUGUUUUUCUCUCGGUUUAGAAGGCAAUCUCCAGCUCCCUGGUCCUGGAUUUUGGGGCACAAUUGGUUUCACAGCCUUAGCUGGUUCCUUCUGUUUCCGAGUUUGAUUGCUCGCCUCUGAAACGUAGUGUUUGCUCACGUCCAUGAACUUCCUUGUCUUUCCAGGUUUAGGGACACCAUAGAUCACUUUUGCUCCCUGCGUUUGCAAACCGGUUCUCUUCAUUCGGAGUGGACCAGGAUUGCCCUCCUUUCUCCCGAUGUUAAAUGUAGUCUCUGAAACACCGAGGUCGAGAACACCAGUCUGAGGCGGUUUACCUAAAUCCGGAUCAACUACAGUUUCCAUUUUCGUGUCUUUUCCUUCAGCCACAGGAGAUGGAGCUCCUAGUCUAGGACGCUUCUCCUUUGGAGUAUCACCCUGCAAUUCAAAUUUUCGAGUCAUUCAAAAUAGCAAAGCAUCCAAAACGAAGCUUCUAGCUUCACAGAAGGGUCAUAGUAGUACCUCAUGUGACAAGCUGAUGUUUUCUCCUGAAGUAGAACAUUCAAUCCACCUUCCAUCUUUCCAUACAAGAGAAGGACGAAGAUUCCAAGCUUUGAUAGUCAAAGUCUCUCCUUGUGCUGCCAAAAAGAAAAAGAGACAAACAGUUUAGAACAUGAAAAUGAGAUAUCUUCAUCACACGUCUUUACGAACCUGGAAAAUGCACAGUCACUGUAUUUUCAUCAUUUUUGUUCUUCUCCGUGAUAACACCCUCCAACCAACUAAAGGAGAACAAAACACAUAGAUAAAGCUUCCAAAGUUAGUGGAAUGAAUAGAAUAGGAUUUCACAAAACGGAAAAUUCAAAACAAUACAGAUUUUGUGUUGUGGGAUCAUUGCUGUUACCUGUCAUGAACCCACGAGUCUACCCUAUCUCCAAUUUUCCACACAGGAUCCCCAAUGGCAGCUCUACGCCUCUUCCUGGUUCCUUCAUAUGGCAGGGCAGUAAUAGAACGAGCAGUUCUUAUUUUCGGGGCCUCAUCACCUUCACCUUUGAGGGCUACCCACUCCUUCAGCUUAUCUGUUCCUGAUAAGAGAUAAAAGAAUCGGAUCAACUAAUAGAGUACUGCACAUGCAUAAAAUAUAAUAAUGGAAAGUGGGUGAUUAUAUACGGUUACAUAUAUAUCAUACACUUGGAGCAAUAUGUAAAGUAAAUGAAAGAUAACGAUCAAAUACCGAUCACUGCAAGGACAACAUAAAAAAAUUUAUGGCCAACUAAUAAACCUUGUUCUACAGAAAGGUCACUGAACAGCACAUAAGCUUUCCCAUCCUCUAAGCUCAAUACAUUGGCAGAGUACCAUGCGGUUCUUAAUUCAGGUCCUUCCUUGAAAACCUACAUAGAAAUUUUUUAUCUCCAUUACAAAAAGAAACACAACCAGCAGCGAGCAGUUUGCUAUAGAAAGUGUAUAUAUGCAAACAUAGCACAAACCUCUACAUGAGAACCUUCCUUGAUGCACUCGUCGUUUGUUUUUUUCAUAAUCUGCUCACUUUCAGUCUGGGUGUCAAUCGAAGAUUUUGACCCAACUUCUGGCUCGAAAACUACAGCAGUGUGUUUAGCCACGUCUGCACUUAUAUGACCUUUCUGUCCAUUUGUUUUCUUUCAGUGGCAGAAACUAGACCUAGACCAUCAGCUGCUCUCACGGAGCCAUCCAACUCAGUAUGCGCAGUGCUGGGACUAGCAAAACCUCUAUCACUAGUAGUCUCAGUUUCUUUUUCUAAUACACCCACUUUACAAGGCUGCGCUUUCUCAGAUUCUUGAGCCUGCCUCCAAUAAUUACUUGGACCCACCUCCACCAGCUUAUUGAGCGACGGAGGAUGACCCAUUGAAACAAGUAUUCCAGCUUGUGAAACCGCCUCUGAUGCCAGUUCUGCUGCCUUAACAAUAGACUCCACAUUUUCAGCUCGUUUGGUGGCCGCUGUGGCAGCCUCGACCCUCUUCUUAGCCGCCUCUCUGGCAGCACUAAGGAACGGACUGGAGCUGACCACUGCACCUUCACCUUCAAGACAGAAGCAGGGGUACCCUGGCCUUGAGUUAGUACAUCAUUUGACUUGUGGAGAUCAUUACCCUGAUAAGAAACACUAGGAAGGGAUGCUUCUUCAGCCAUUAAUUUUGCCUGAAACGCCGCAUUAGCUGCGACAUUGGCGGCGGCAGCUGCAGCCUUUGCCACUGCAGCGGCAGCAGCUAUGGCAACAGCAGCGGAAGCUAAUCUGCCUUGAGUUUCUGGCUGGAGGCCAGCAUGCCUCUGUUGCUCUAUCUGCUUCCAUACGUAUUCGCUGUGACUAACGGCUGCAGUAGCGAGAGCAGAAGCAUCCUCUGCAUGCAUCUUAGCCUCAUUAAGCUUAUCAAUGGUAUCUGCCGGCAACACAGAUCUCUGCUUAACUUCAGAUACAAGGUUACCACCAAAAAUUGGGGAUUGCAAAGAUGAUUUCAUUUUCUUCCCAGGAAACGUAGAUACCAGGUUUAUAGGGACUGCAGAGAUGGAAUCAACACUGGCCAGGGUGCCUGCGUUAGAAGACAGACUACCCGGAGCAGCUGUAAUAGGUACAGGUGUUGAUAUAGAAACAAGAGGUGAGACAACUACUUCUGUCUGCUGUAGCGAAUUUAAAAUGCUUGGAUCAGACUCCACAGAGACUGGCAUUUUCUUCCGUUUCCUUGAUUUCGUCCCAGUGGAGUGUUGAGCAGGUGCUACAACUGUACUGGCUGGCUCAAGUGUUUGUGUCCCUUUGAAAACAUUGCCAGAAGUUCCACUCAAAACAUGCUUACCGCCAGAGUAAGGCAAGGAAGAUUCUUUUGUGGGUGUCAAUUUUACAGAUUCGGUGAUCGGGAAAACGGGGAAACGAGAACCAACAUCGAACCCACUGGUCUGCGGAGAAGCAAGCCACGGGUUGGGGUAAGGGAGAGGGGACAUCCAAGCCGUAUUAUGUCCAAUAUUCGUAACUGAUGCAGCUUGAUGAGCAUGUGAUGAAGAAGGCAGUGGUGCAGCAGCUGAACCUCUCUGAAUGCUUCUUGAUUGUAAAGUUUCGAGGGGAGUUGACAAACUCCAUAAAGGUGAUGAGAGUGGAAUUAUGGGUUUCGUCGCUGAACUCACUUUGCUACUGGUGUGACUCAUUGACGGGGUCUCUGUCUUCCCUGGAAAUGCAGUUUCGGGUAUUUAGCUACGGAAUGCAAACAGCAGUAGAGCUGAGAAAUAAAAUAUAACCAUAAGAGCUGAAUAAAUCGAACUAGAAACCUGCACGUGAUUGCAAUGGCGUUUCAGGACUAGAAACACGCAUUCUCUGAGCCCUCACAGCACAAGCACGCCAUGCUUUCUCCCAAGUGCCUCUCCCACCAUCUAGAGAAGUUCAGAAUCAACAUGCUUUGUCUCAAAAAUGGGUAAUACAAUAGGUUAAGAGAAUAAUAGUCUUACCUGCACCACCAAAUGCAGAUAUCAUAUAAGCUUCAUCGGGUGCUGUCCCUUGGCUGUAACGGGAGAAAAAAACAAAACAAUUAUAAUUUUGUAAGACAGUACGAUGUGCAAGAACGCUGAAUGAGAUCGCUACUGAGUCUCUCUGACUCAACAAAACUUAAGAACACGUACAGAGUAACAUAGAACUUACAUAAGACCACCAUAAACAAAAAUCUGUGCGCGUAGUUGCACUUGUUGCGAGUCAGUGAAAGGUCGACGAAAAAUGCUUGAGGGAGCAGUAGAAUUCAUAUCCGGUAGACUAGUCGUGGGGGCUGAAAGGUUACCAAACGAAUUAAGAACAGGAGUCUGAAGACUUUGCUGUUUCUCAGUAGAGUGUGUGAUUUGAAUAGAAGAACCAGAACUCUGAUUAGCAGCAUUUGCUUUGCCUGCACUUUGAAGAUGUUGAAAAGGUGCAGCUCUCUUUACACUAUUUCCUUUUCUAGAAGUCUCUUUUCCUGCAGAUUUAGGUGUUCGCCUGGGUUUACGCUCAGAUUUUGUUUUCGAAGACUUCGCAGCUGUUUUCUCUAAGCUAGAUUUUGACAGAGAUCCCACCACCAUCUGAAUAAACAAAAGCAUAUGCUACGUAAGGAUAAUAAAAACAUAAUGUAACAGCAUUCGCUUUGUCUAGUGAUGAAACUAUGUUGAGAUAUAGAUCGGACGUACCGGAGAGACAAGGGUAGUUUCGGAAAUUUCCACUGCUUUCCUUGGAUCGGAAGUCAAGUUCAGCCCACUGCUGGAGGUCGGGUUUCUAUCCAAGACCGGAGAUUCGGUAGCCAUCAAACUCAAAGUAUUCUGAUCCUCUGUCUUAUUAAGUUCUAGUUCGGUCAUCUUACGAGCUGGGGAAGAAAUGACAUGAGACCCUAAAUCUGUAGCAGCGUUUUCAGUUCCAGUAACAUGGGACUUUACAAAAGGCUCAGAACUUGUAGAAGCACAGGACACUCCUACUUCAAUUACACCACCUGCAAUAUCCGCAAGGACAGGUAUAUAUUUUCGAUGAGUGCACAUUCUUUUAUUCCACGAAUCUAGAAAAGGAAAAGCAUUGGUCGUCCCAAGAUCAAGACCGGUAAAACUUAGUCAUAAGUUUAUAGUAACUGCAUUCUUUAACAGAUUAUUGAUUCUAUCGUGGAAACACGCCUAAUAUGUAUCUUUUUAAUAAACCUUUCUAAAAAAUCAGAAGAAACUUCUUGCUGCUACAUGAUCAUACACACUCACCUGUGGGGUGUGAAACAGGAGUCGCAGCUGUCAUAAUCCCACCGGCAGCAGUCUUAGCCAAGGGGCUAGCGCUAGGGUUUUCAUUUAUGGCAUCGUUGUCCAGAACUGGCUGAAACUCUGAGGAAAACGCAAAAGAAAAGAGAUUACUUCAACAUAAAUCAAACCAUCAAAGGGUAAACAAAUAUGGUAAGGUCUUUACGGAACGACAAUAUACAAAGAAAAGACUACACGUGCAAAUACUACGGCCAAAAAAAAAACCAUUACCAGGGACGUUUACAACGUCUGUUAGAUUUUCUUCUAAAAUUCUUCCCUCACACUGCUGAGGCAAAACUUGUCCAGCGGCAUCAGCAUCUACUGCAUCCUUUGGCCCUUCAGAGGCAGGAGAGUGGUGAGUAUCUUCAGUCUGCUUCCUAGGUUGUUGUACAAUAGGACUCCCUGAAUUACUUGCUUCCACGGGUGGAACAGUUUGACAAUUUUCAGGUUCGCCAGAUAAAACCUUCUCGGUUACAGAGAAAUUGACUUGCUCAUUAGCCUCAGAUGAUGUAGUCACCAUAUGUAAAUCUACUGAAGAUGUAAGACUGACAGCAGGUGCUCCAUCUUGGCUUAGAUGUUGCGAUUCUUCAGGUUUGAGAGGAAAUGCUUCACAUUCUUUACCGUCAAUCAUUGUCCCUGAGAAAUAAAAGGAAUACACAUACACAUGUGGAGUGUUAUAAAUAAGUAAUUAUGAUAUAUCAAUUUUGUAUGCAAUUACCGGCUGUACGCUAAGCUCAAAAAAAAAGAAAGAAGAAGAAGAAAUACAGAACCAAGAGUAUGAAACUAUAUAUCAAAAGAAUGAGACAAUAUAAUUACCUGAUUUGUCUAUUGGAAUGGUGUCAGACUGAGAAUUUGACUCCACCAGCUUGGAUGCGGAGUCUCUUAUAACAUAACCAACAGACUCAGACACAACGCUUUCAGAUAAGACAUGAGAGCUCUUGGCAUCCGGAUCUGUAUGAAUUCACAAAUAUUCACAUACCUAAUAUGUAUCUUUCUAAAUAAACCAUUCUAAAAAAAAAAAAAAAAAUCAGAAGAAACUGCUAGAAAGAAAGUUUCACAUGAUCAUACAAACUCACCUGCGGGGUAUGAAACAGAAGUAGCAGAUGUCAUAAUCCUACCGGAUGCAGCAGUCUUAUCCUCUUCCUGGCAAUCUGCCACAGCUUCAGUCCGAAGAUUAGCCAAGGAGCUAGCUUUAGGGUUUUCAUUUAAGGCAUCCUUGUCCAGGAUUGACCGAGUCUCUAAGGAAAACGCAAAUAUGGUAAGGUCUUAACGGAACGACAGUAUACAAAGAAAAGAGCACGUGCAAAAAAAAAAAAAAAACAUUUACCAGGGACGUCUACAACUUCUGUUAGAUUUUUUUCUAAAAUUGUUUCCUCGCACUGCUGAGGCAAAACUUGUCCAGCGGCAUCAGCAUCUACUGCAUCCUUUGACCCUUCAGAGGUAGGACAACCAUGGAGAAAUUGUGUACUUUGCUGAGUAUCUUCAGUAUGCUUGCUAGGUUGUUGUGCAAUAUGAAUCCCUGAAUUACUUGCUUUCACAGGUGAAACAGUUUGGCAAUUUUCAGGUUCGCCAGAUAAAACCUUCUCGGUUACAGAGAAAUUGACUUGCUCAUUAGCCUCAGAUGAUGUAGUCACCAUAUGUAAAUCUACUGAAGAUGUAAGACUGACAGCAGAAGCUCCAUCUUGGCUUAGAUGUCGCGAUUCUUCAGGUUUGAGAGGAAAGGCUUCACAUUCUUUAAUGUCAAUCAUAGUCCCUGAGAAAUAAAAUGUAUACACAUACACAUGUAGAGGGUUUAUAUAUAAAUAAUUAUGAUAUAUCAA
rnacentral:lncRNA from 1 species